UGGAAUCGAUGGAAUUGUUGUUGGAAUGGUGGGGAUUGAAGGGAUUGUUGAGGGGAAUGAGGGAAGUGGGUUGGCGGGCAAUGGAGGGAGGGUUGUGGGCACCGUAGGCAAUGUGGAUUUUGGCAAAGAUGGGAUUUGGGGUAGGGAGGUUGGGAAUGGGGGCAGAGUAGUUGGGAGAGUAGGCAAUUGGGUAGAGGGCAACGGUGGCAACGUGGCCGGCUUUGGCAAAGUUGGAGCAGUUGGAAGCGUAGGCAAUGGGGUUGAGGGAAGUGGAGGCAAUGUGGUCUUGGGCAGAGUUGGGGCAGUUGGAAGUGUAGGCAAGGUGUUUGAGGGCCUGGGAAGUGUUGGUAGUGAAGGCAAAGGAGGCAGCUGAGUGGGAUUUGGCAGAGAGGGGAUUGUAGGGAUUGCCAGUGUUGGGGGUGGAGCUGCUGCUGGUGUGUCCAAAAGGUGGCGAGCUGCAUGGCUCAUUUGGGUGCUUGAGGCUGACAAAAUCACCACCAGCAAAGACGAAAUGAAGAAAAUCUUGGGAAAAGCCAUGGUUGAGUUGAAGGAGCUGCUAGGGCUAUAGGCAAGUCUCUUUGUUAAUAUGUUGUUUUUGUUGUUGUGAAGAGCAGACAGUCUCCAUUGGGUUUUUAUAGAGAAAAUAUGUGUCAAGACUUUGAGGACUUGGAAGCAUCUAUCUAAUAAGUUUGAUGAGUUGUGGUUGUAGGAAGUGGGAAAAAAAGCAAUAGUUAGCUCACCUCCCUGAGUUGAUUAAUAAAUUGGUUUCAAACCCAAACUAACCCAAAAGAAAGGCUGAAGAAUAAACUCACGCAAGCCAAGCCAAUAAUCUUAAGCCAAUUGGCUAUUGAACAUGGGAACUACAUACACAAUCACCAUUUUGGUUGGGUAUGGCUAAGAAAGUCCGUUUGACUACAACAACCAUUUUCGUUGGUUGGAAAUGAGAUGGUCUUGACAAUCUCCUCCUAAAAACUAAACUCCGGAUUCAAACAAAUGAUUCAAAUAGGAAGAGAUCUGGUUAACCAAUUAGAGAUGAACCCAAACCACACUCAAUCGAAGGUUGAUAGGUUCUUUCAAGUUUAAAAUUGGUUAACAAAACCUAUUUUGGAACUUUGUCCUCUCUUUCAAAUGUCCAUUUUGAUAUAUAUAUAUAUGUGUGUGUGUGGAUCCGAGACACACAAAAAACCACACAUUAUACACACUUUUUUAACCCUUAGAUGAUUCACCAUCCAAUGGCUCAAAAUGCAUCAUGAUGAAGCUUGUCUGCCAUCAUUCCUUGAUAGCAAACUAUACAUCUACGGGAGGCAAUAAUCUUUGCCUAUAAAAUAAGGCAUCCUCCUCAUUGUAAAAGGCAAAAUGGAAAGAUUCAAUGAAAACAUCAGAACAACAUUCCUAUUGCUAUUUGAAUUCUCUAAAUUCUCUCCACAAUCUCUUUAGUUUUAUAACACAAUUAAACUAUUAUUCUUCUCAUAGAAGGGCUUUUUGACAGUUUGAGAUGUGUUGGUGAGCUCUAUUGUGGGGGUCUCUUGGUCUUCCAGUAGUUUGGUAGUUUAUUUUGGUUAUUUAUUUUUCUGUUUUGGUUCUUUGUUGAGGUCCAAAGUGGCCUGAGUUGGACCGUUUUGGUAGUCUAUGGCAUGUGUGGUACUCUUUUUUACCCUGAGUUUGUCCCUUGUGGUUUUCCUAGGAAGAUUUUAACAAGGCUACUAUAGUCUAUAUUUAUGUCGAUUAUGCCUAUUUUGAUUUAUGAAUGAAAUUUUCUUCUAAAAAAAGUACCAUUAAACUAAUAUCUAGUUGGGAAAAAGUACCAUUAAAGUACCAUUAUAAACUAGCUGGUGGUAUUGAUCAAGAACUUUGAUGAACAUUAUGAAAUCUUCAGUGUUAACAUUUUGCAAUUUAUUUGAUAACUUUCGCUUGAUCAUAGUAGUAACACAUUUUGUAUAUAUCUUCUUUGUAUUUAGUAAAAUACCAGACCGAGAAAAUAUACAUAAAAUUUGUAUGUGCAUUAUUUGGAAAUUCUUUAUUAUAAAAAAAAAUAUGGUAAAAAUUCAACCAUUAUGUUAUAUUUUAAAAUGAUUUAUUUUCAUUUUUUGAAAGAGUGUAAAAUAUGUGAAUAAUUGGAAAAUAUAUGCAACAUGCAUGGAUUAUACAUAAAAAAAAAUAUAUACUUGAAUAAUGCAAGUAUAAUACGUUUGGUUUAAAAAGCAAGUAUAGUUCCGCAUAAUUGAGAAAUGUGAAAAAUUAAAGUAUUUAAACAGAAUACAUACAUAUUUAUAUGAGUAUGAUGCACGAAUUUAUAAAAGCUUAAUUGAAAGUGUAACAACAACUAGAUAAAAUAUUAAUUGAUUACUUAAAGAUAAUAUAUAAGUUGAAUGAAUUAUUAAUUAAUUAGAUUUUUUUUUGUGUGUCAAAAGUUAAAAAGGAGAGGCAGGAAACUCACACACAUGGAUACCAUGAGGGCUUGAACUCAGGACCACUUAGAAACAUACCAAACGUUUGGACCAAUUCAACUAACAUCCCAUUGAUAAAUUAUUAAUUAAUUAGAUGAAGGUGAUCCUUUUGUUUAUUUUUUGUUAGACGAACUUAUGAUAGAUAAUGAAGUGGUGAAUUGGUUAUUACAGUGUCCCCAAAGAAAGGUAAAAUUUGGAAAAACUUCUCAUAGGACAAUAACCCCAAAGAAAGGUAAAAUUUGAUUCUAAGCCUUCUAAUUGUGUUUUUAUUUAAUAUUUAAAUUAAUAUUUAUGGUUUUGAAGCCAUGCAUGAGUUACGAACACUACAAAUAACGCAAAAACUUUAAGAGAGAAUAUAUGAUAGUUAUAUUUGAACAAGGAUAUGCUAAUGAUGAAGAUAAUUGUGACACUGGUUUUACUUAUAUGCUGGUUGUAGUGCAAGCCAUUAAUGGUGAAGAGGCUCUUUCUGUUCCCUCAUCUUACUCCCUUUCGAAAACUCCAUCUCGCCUUUGCUCCUCUCUUCCACAUGGUGGUGAUAUUUUCAGAAUCCAUAGGACUUCUGAAAUUUCUAAGAUUCUGGUUAAUGUUCGACAUUCUAAACAUGGACCUAGAAAACUUCCCAAAACUCCAAUUCUGAAAAAUCCUAUUGAUCCCAACACUCCUAUUUCUUCAAGUCCUAAUGUCAAAAUUAUCUAUCCUCGUUCUUUUAAUUUCAAAUGUAAACUUCGACCAUGUGGCGCUGCCUGCUUUCGAGCAGCGCUGUUAUGCAAGUUUUGUUGUUGCUGGAGAUGAUGUUAUGCAUUUACUCCCUAUUGUGUUUACUUUUGUUAUCAUAUUGUGUGAAAAAAAUUUAUAUAAUUUGAUGGUUAUUUUAAAUAGCUUGUAAUAUAUUGUUUACAUAAAUCUUCUAUGCAUUUUUGUUCUUUGAAGCACAAUAGCUUGAAAAUUUAUAUUUAGGCCGUCUUUUAUCGAUUUACUGAAUCUGAUUGUAUAUAAGAUAAUAUAAAUUCUCCUUUUUCUGCUCAGUCUUUGGGUACUGCAUAUAGUCCAUGACAUGACCAGUAGGUUUCCAUAACAAAGAUCAUAUAUAUAAUAAAGAAUAAGCCUUUAUUUUGAUAAUAAUACUAUAAUUCAUAACAAAAAUUAAUACAACAACAAACCCUACAAUAGAUAUCGAGAAGAUCCCAACAAAGAAAGAAUUCAAGGAAAAUAACAUCCCUCACAAGUUCUCUGUCACAAGUAUACUGUAUACAUACACUAAUAAGCCACCAUCAAACGGAAGAAACCAUCAAAUCAUAUAUUCUGAAGACUCCCCAGCACAGACAAGAAACUAGAUUGUAUACUUCUACUAGUAAUCAUGGAGAACCAUGGCAUAUAUAUAUCAAGUGGUUUAAUUGGAUGGGGGUGGGGUGAAGAAUGGAGUCGAUGGAAUUGUUGUUGGAAUGGUGGGGAUUGAAGGGAUUGUUGAGGGGAAUGAGGGAAGUGGGUUGGCGGGCAAUGGAGGGAGGGUUGUGGGCACCGUAGGCAAUGUGGAUUUUGGCAAAGAUGGGAUUUGGGGUAGGGAGGUUGGGAAUGGGGGCAGAGUAGUUGGGAGAGUUGGCAAUUGGGUAGAGGGCAACGGUGGCAACGUGGCCGGCUUUGGCAAAGUUGGAGCAGUUGGAAGCGUAGGCAAUGGGGUUGAGGGAAGUGGAGGCAAUGUGGUCUUGGGCAGAGUUGGGGCAGUUGGAAGUGUAGGCAAGGUGUUUGAGGGCUUGGGAAGUGUUGGUAGUGAAGGCAAGGGAGGCAGCUGAGUGGGAUUUGGCAGAGAGGGGAUUGUUGGGAUUGCCAGUGUUGGGGGUGGAGCUGCUGCUGGUGUGUCCAAAAGGUGGCGAGCUGCAUGGCUCAUUUGGGUGCUUGAGGCUGACAAAAUCACCACCAGCAAGGACGAAAUGAAGAAAAUCUUGGGAAAAGCCAUGGUUGAGUUGAAGGAGCUGCUAGGGCUAUAGGCAAGUCUCUUUGUUAAUACGUUGUUUUGUUGUUGUGAAGAGCAGACAGUCUCCAUUGGGUUUUUAUAGAGAAAUAUGUGUCAAGACUUUGAGGACUUGGAAGCAUCUAUCUAAUAAGUUUGAUGAGUUGUGGUUGUAGGAAGUGGGAAAAAAAAGCAAUAGUUAGCUCACCCCCUGAGUUGAUUAAUAAAUUGGUUUCAAAGUCAUACCCAAACUAACCCAAAAGAAAGGCUGAAGAAUAAACUCACGCAAACCAAGCCAAGCCAAUAAUCUUAAGCCGAUUGGCUAUUGAACAAGGGACCUACAUAUACAAUCACCAUUUUGGUUGGGUACGGCUAAGAAAGUCCGUUUGACUACAAUAACCAUUUUCGUUGGUUGGAAAUGAGAUGGCCUUGACCAUCUCCUCCUAAAAACUAAACUCCGGAUUCAAACAAAUGAUUCAAAUAGGAAGAGAUCUGGUUAACCAAUUAGAGAUGGAGCCAAACCACACUCAAUCAAAGGUUGAUAGGUUCUUUCAAGUUUAAAAUUGGUUAACAAAACCUAUUUUGAAAACCCUUAGAUGAUUCACUAUCAAAUGGCUCAAAAUGCAUAUGAUAUUAUUUAAAAAGGAAAGCAAUAUUUUUUCAUUACUUUCUAGAAAACACAAGUCAACCACAUGAUUAUCUUUUCCAACUCUCUCUCCUCUUUAAUUACAUUCUUAAAAAUACAAAGACAUUUUUUUUCCAUCUAAAACUCGUUGGUACUUUAGCUGGGUUUUCACAAAAUCCAUCACUUUUAUUCUUCUCUUUAGUUACUCUUUUUGCUACGCAAUUAUCUUAGGCUUUGUUUUUGUUUUUUGUUUUGUUUUUUUGUUUUUUUAGGUUACUAGCUAGCUAGUGAUUACUUUUUCCCCGUUUCUCUUCAAUAAUCUCUCUACUCUUUUAGCAAAAAUAAAUAAAUAAUAAUAAUACUAAAAUCUCUCCACUAUGCUUUCUUUUACUCUUUUUUUUUCCUUUCGUUUCGAUCCAUCGAACUUUUUUUUUUUUCUAAAUCUUUAAUUUUGUAGUUUCAUUUAAUCUAUCUUCACCAUUUAAAUUUUUUAAUUUUGUAAUUUCUCAUCACACUUUUUCAUGAUUGUUUUUCUUUUUGUUGCUUUAUAAUGUUAUUCAAUGUCACUCCAAUGAUCUCCCUUUUCUCCUUAUUUUACGCUCUUCUAAUGAACUUAUUCGUUCACCAAAACACAAUAUAUAUAUUUUUUUAUAGUUGAAACAAUUGUUUUUCAGCCAUAUUCGUUCACCAAAACACAACAUAUAGAUUGCAUAUAUUAGUAAAGUCAAAUGAUGUUUAAAAUUCCAUUUCUCAUUCCAGAAACAACAUUAGAGCUUGAUGAAUGCAACAAACCAUCAAUCAUUAACCAAAAGUAACUGUUCACAACAUUCUUCUUUCUUUUUCAGCAUGGAUACUCAGUACUCAAAGAAUCAAUAGUCCCGACACCCAUAGAAUCAGUAGUCCCAGCAACCAAUACUCCAGGAAAAUAUCCAAUACAACCCUUCAAUCAUAACUCAAACCAUUUAGUAUCCCUCCAACCAUCUGCAUAUGAAGAAAUCAAACCAAAUUCAGUCAUAACUCAAAGAAAGAAAUCAAACCAAGUUAAGUCAUAACUCAAAGAAUAAUUAUAUAAUUAUUUAUCAGUUGCUCCAGGGCUAAUUGAAUUUUUAUUUUUUUUCCAUCUCACUGAUUUAUAAUUUAAGACUACCACUAAUUUAACUGUAGACUUAAACUUAAUAAUACCAAUUCAUAAUGAAUUGAUGCAAUAUAUGAAAGGAGGACACCAAUUCAAGUGCUGUUGUGUUGGGGCAAUUUAUGUGAUUCAAAUUAAAAAUAAAAUAAAGAAGAAGACAAUAUGCAUGCAAAAGAGCUAUUGACACUAAACACAUAAUGGUUCUGACCUGAUGGAGAUGAGGGCUAGAGGUGCGUGAUGACUUCACAACUAAUGAUGAAGAAGCUUCCGACAUUGCAAUGGUUUCACUUUUCCGACAAGUCCAACAAGAAAUGAUGAAGAAGCUUAAGGAAGAGAUGAAGACAUAAGAGAAUAAUGGAGUGGGAGAGAGUUGUUUGUGGAAGGAAGAAAUCUGUACAAGGAAGAGCAAUAGAAACGAAGAGGCACACGCAAGGAGAGAUAAAUUGAAGUAAUGAUUGUUGCAUGUUUUCAAAAAGUAAAAACAGAAUAUUGAUUUUUUAUUUAUUGAAAAACAAUAUUGUCAUAUGCAUUUGAGCCAUUGGAUGGUGAAUCAUCUAAGGAUUAAAAGGUGUGUAUAAAUGUGUGGUUUUUUGUGUGUCUUAAGAUUCUGUGCUAAAAUAUGAAUAUGAUUUAAAUACUUUAGGUUGACCUUUAUUCUUCUCCAUAAGGAGGUAUAUAUAGAAGUUUACAUAUGAAAGUUUUACAAGGAAUUAGAUAUAGUAAAGAAUUAGGAAAGUAUCUCAUAAUUGUACAAUGAUUUGUCACUUUUAUAAAAAAUAGGAAAGUAAAUCCCUUAAUUAAUCAAGGAAAUAAAUCUCCUUGAUUAAUUAGGAGACUCACGUCAACACUCCUCCUGAAGUUGGUGCAUAUAUGUCACGAAUGCCCAACUUGGUAAGUGAGUCAUGAAAUACUCUUCCACACUCACAGCAUAUGCAAUAUCUGAUCUUGGAGGACGUAUGAAGAGUAGAACCUUUGGUGGUGGUGAUAGAAGAAGGAGUCUGGGUUGACCGCAUGCUUCUGUGAGUCUGCAAUAAGAUGGAGAAUCGUAUGGGUUCUUGACAUCACAGCGGAAGUAAGAUGUGAUAUGAGAAGGUGAGGAAGGUGAUGUGAGAAAUUUGAUGUAGGAAUUGGAUUUAAGAGGUAUGUAUAUAAGAUUUGAUGAUAUGUGUUUAGGGAUUCGGAUAAGAGGAUUUGAGGACUUUAGAUUUGAGGGAUUUGGAUUUGGGGAAAAAAAAUGAGGAAUUUGAUUUAGGGUUUUGGAUUUGAAUAUGAGAAAUUUGAGAAAUUUGAGAAAUUUGAGAAAAUGGUGUAGAGACAAAACAACUUCUCUUCACUCCCCUUCUCCCCUUAAAGAGAAGGGGUCGUCAGAGUCAAGAAAUAAGCAACAUCUUCUUGGGAUACGUCAAUAAACAUAGCCCUUUCACUUUUUUUUUAAAGUGGUAGAGUUUGCCCCUCCUAGUACCACAACUAAUCAUCUUGCUGCUGAGGAUGUCUUGUUGUGGCUACAGAGGCAGAUGCAAGAGUUGGUGCCGUUGGAGCUGCAGGACUAACAGAAGCUGAGUCAGAAGAUGUGUCGAGUGAUUUGCCCCUAUUCUUGCGCGGAGCUUUGGAGUGGUCCCACCAAUCCGAGUAACCAAUCAAUUCGUAACAGCCAUCACGAGUAUGUUUGCUUCCACCACAGUGAGUGCAUUUGCGUUCUAGACUAGAGCUUGUGACUUGAGUUUGAGAAGCACCAGUGGUAGAAGUCGGAGGACCAUGUGGACGUUGGGUGGCUAGGACAAUAAUGUCUGGAGUACUGGUCAUGGUCAUUGUUGAGCUUCGCGACGGACAUAUGCAAAGGUUUGGUCAAGGUCUAAUUUAGGUUCUUUACGCAAGAUUUCCCCCCGGACUUGAUCAAACUGAGGGUCGAGCCCGACAAGAAACAGGUGAACACGAAGACGAUCCAGUUCGGUCUGACGUUCAGUCACGUCGGUGUUGCAGUGCAUGCGAUUGGGAGUGCGGUGAUCAAUCUCUUGAAAGAUGGUAUGCAGUUGGCUAUAGUAUUUGUGGACAGAGGCACCAUUCUGUUUAAUGGUGAAUGCCCAUUUGUUGAGAUCAAAAAGGAAAGUUUCAUCCCUACCAUCAAAGUAGGUUUUCUUCAUGGCAUCCCAGAUUUCUUUGGCGGUACUUAAGCAGAUGAAACGACUCAUCAAGUCGGAAGACAUGGAGUUAAUGAGCCACCCCUUCACCCGAAAGUUCUCCGUACGCCAUUUGGAAUAGGUGGAGGAGAGCUUAGAAGGUUGCGGGGUGUCGCCGGUGAUGUACCCCAAUUUUUCGCAGGUAGCAAUACGCAUCUCCAUGACUUGAGAUCAUAAGGCAUAAUUGGUUUCAGUCAAGGUGAUGCUAUUUGGGAAAGGAGCGUUGUCACUGUAGAUAGUAACAAUUUGGGAGGAUGGUGGAGUGGUGUCGGUGGUAUCAGAAGAGGAGAUGACAUCCAUGGCAGCGGAAGAAUUUUAAGGGUAAAAAAAAAAAAAAUGUGUUUUGGAAUUUGAAGAUAUGAGGGAUGUGGAUGGAGAUCUGAAUCUGGUAAAGAGAAAUAUGAGUUUGGAGAAAUAUGAGGAAUUUGAGGAAUAUGAUUUUAUGGUUUGUGUUUGAAGAAGUUUGAUAUGAGGAUUAGCGUUUGUGUUGGAAGAAAUUUGAUAUGAGGAUUUAGAGACAACUGAAGAUUGAUUGCUCUGAUACCAUGCUAAAAUAUGAAUAUGGUUUGAAUAUUUUAGGUUGACCUUUAUUGUUCUCUAUAAGGAGGUACAUAUAUGAGUUUACAUAUGAAGGUUUUACAAGGAAUUAGAUAUAGUAAAGAAUUAGGAAAGUAUCUCAUAAUUGUACAAUGUUUUAGUUUUUCACUUUUGUUACUCCUCCCUCCCAUCCCCUUUCAUCUUCCCUCUCAAUUCCAUCUCCACUCUCAUUCUCCCUUCCAUUCUCUCUUUUUUCCUCUGUACUCUAGAACAAAAACUAAAAACUAAAAACUAAAAUCGAAAUAGUUAUCAAAUGGGCCCUUAGGUUUCCUUCUUGGACCGAGACAUGCAAUUUCAUUUCUGGGUGCUAGUUUAGGGAGAGCAGUGGGUUGCACUGUUCUUCAUGUGUUCUUAAACGAAACAAAUUUUGAAAAUCCAGCCUCAUGAUCUAUAUAGAACGUCAAAUCUUAUAGAUUAGAUCACUACCUAGGCUGAGCUAAACAAUUUGAUACCUUAAUUAGUUUACAAUUAAUGAGUUAAAAUAGUAAUUACCUACAUAUGGAUGAGCCACCAUGUUGGAGCAUUGGAUAUGAUGUUAAUUUGUAGUUUGAUUAAUGGCGUAUGAAAAUGGAAAUGAGGCAGUGGAAUUUGUUGUUAGACGAGAGAGAUUACUUACCCUGAGCCAGGAAUGUUAAUGGCAAAGGGGAAUUCAAACCACUGGUUUUUGUUUAUUCAAUGCAUUGGAAUUGGGGGGUGGAUUAAUAUUGCUAGUAAAUGGCCAGUCGGGAUCAACUUUGAGCCCAUGGCCAUGGCAGUAGUUAAUGAAAUUGUUGUUGAUUUGUUUUUCCACUUUAUAUAUAGUCCAUGGCAUGACCAGUAGCAGUUCGAUGACAAAGUGACGAAGAUUAUGUGGCGGGAUGAAUCGAUAAGCCUUUUGAUAAUACAAGAGUUAUAACAAGAUUGCAAGAAUGCAAAACAAACACUAUUAUUGUAACCCAAAAAAAGAAAAAAGAAAAAGGCAACACUAGAAUAUAUAGAUAUCAUGAAGAUACAUGAAACCCAACAAGAAAUAAUUCGUGAAAAAUAGCAUCCUCACAAGCUCUCUGACACGAGAAAUACAAGAAAUUAGAUAGUUGUAGGACCUAGCAAGCAUAAAGAGAUCAAUCCAUAUAUCUCAAAUCUCAAAUGGUUUAAUUAAUUUGAUGGGGGUGGGGAGAGGAAUGAAAUGGUCGGAAUUGUUGAUGCAAUAGUGGAGAUAGAAGGGAUUGUUGUUGGGAUUUGGAGAGAGGGCAGUGGAGGUAGUGUUGUGGGCAACGUAGGCAAUGCGGAAGGUUUUGGCAAAGAAGGCAUUUGAGAGCUUGGCAAUGGAGGCAGAGUAGUUGGAAGAGUAGGCAAUGGUGGCAACGUGGCCAGAUUUGGUAGAGUUGGAGCAGUUGGAAGGGUAGGCAAUGGUGUUGAGGGCAAUGGAGGCAAUGUGGCCUUGGGCAGAGUUGGGGCAGUUGGAAAUGUAGGCAAGGUGUUUGAGGGCUUGGGAAGUGUUGGUAUUGAAGGCAAUGGUGGCAGUGUUUGUUUUGGCAGAGAUGGGAUUGUAGGGAAUGCCAAUGCUGGAGGUGGAGCUGCUGCUGGUGUGUCCAAAAGGUGGCGAGCUGCUUCGGUCAUAUGGGUGUUUGAGAGUGACAAAAUCACCACCAAAGACAGAAUGAAGAAAAGCUUGGGAAAAGCCAUGGCUGAGUUUAAGAAGCUGCCAGUUGUAUUGUAGGCAAAUCUCUUAAUUAAAAUGUUGUUUCUUGUUGUGAAGAGUAGAAAGCCUCCAUUGGGUUUUUAUAGAGAAUUUAAAACCAAUAGUUAGAAGCAUCUACUUGGGUUUGAUGAGUUGUGGUUGUAGGAAGUGGGAAAAAAAGGUAAAAAGCAAUAGGUAGUUCACCUUCCCAACUUUGAUAUAUAUACAAUUGGUUUCAAAUUCAAAGCCAAACUAGCUUAAGCCACAACAAAUCUUAUUAGUUAUAUGCAUGCCAAUUGUGGCUGCGGAAGUAACCAAAUUUUGAAGCAGAAAAUAUCAUGGGACCUACAUAAUGGUUCUGCCGUUGGAUCCUUUACAUGGCUUGGAAAGUCCAGAUGAUUGCUUCAGCUGCAAGCAUCCCUUACCCUGGGAUAUUAAUUCUCAAUUUGGGUGGACAUUAGAUGCCCUUGAAAUUGUACUCCUAAUUAACAGUACAUUUUGAUUGAUAUGCUCUGCGGUUAGAGAUAGCUUCACGCCAGAGAAUUUACACUUGUAUUGGUAAAUCUUUUGAAUGAUGGGCGCCUAAUCACGACCUCAUUUUUUAAGUGUAUAAAUAGUAUAGCCGCAUGGUAAUACACAAAUUUUUUAUUUCUAAAAACAGUAUAGUCGGGCGGCUAUACUCACUUUUUUUGAUUUUUUGCAAGCGGAUCCUUUUUUUAACGCGUAUAAAUACCAUAGCCGCACAGCUAUACGCGAUUUCUUCUUAUUUUUUUUCCUAAAAAUAGUUUUGACACCUGGAUAGUAAUCAGCCCACCCCAUUGGAUAACCCUAGCCUUCUUCUUCCGUGAUUUGUCGUCCUUGUUCUAAAAACCAAAAGCAAACCGCACCAAACCGUUUGUUCAGGGAGCCAACUAUGGUCGGUUGACAUGAGUGGCGGUUUGAUGUCUAUCUCGGGAUUUGUUAUACCGAUAACUCCAGUUUAGUGGGCGAUUCCGGCCUUUCAGUAUGUUUAACCGAACAGAACGCACUCAUAUUACAGAGAGUUGCAAAGCACCAAAUGCAUAAGCAAGAACAACUCUCGAUGAUAUUCUUUUUGCAAGCUACCUCAUCCCUAUCAUCAGAUGAUCUUCGCAUAUUAUUUGUGAAUGUAAGUUUUUCCCUUUGGAUCUUCCAUAAUUAUAAUAAACUUUUGUUGGUAAAAGGUUUGAUUUUUGAUCUUUUCAUUCAUGUUAUAAAUGAAAACCAUAUGCCAUUCAAUUAUUUGAUUGUGGAAGAUCUAGGUCACGACUUAAAUAAUUAGCCUUUAACUAAUUUUUGCGUCAUUGCAUGAUAUUUUCUUCUAGUUGAUUAGGCUUUUAAUAAUUUUUUAUAAUUAUAUAUAUCUUGACUAUUUAUUAGUAAAUCAAAAGGAAAACUUAUUAGUUUGUUUUGCAUUACCUCUUUAUUUUAGAGUUCAAGGUUCAGGUUCAGGUUCAGAUCCAACCAAAAAAAAAAAAAAAAAAAAAAACAGGUUCAGGUUCAGCAGUAAGCAUUUGGAUAGUAUUAUGAUAUUAAUAACAAGUAUUAAAACAACAAAUACUGUCAUAGGUAAUGAAAAGAUAAGCUCACAAGUACAACAAAGAAUUCAUAUAAAAUAACAUCCUCACAAGCUCUCUCUCUGGCACAAGCUUACUGUAUACUUAAUCUAAUGAGCCACAACGAAACACAAGAACCAUAUCGUAUGUUCCGGGACUUCUGGAGACUCUCCAGCAUAUCCAAGAAUUUAGAUCUUGAUACAUAGUAAUAAUAGUAAAUGUGGAGAACCAGAGAUUGAUAUAUAUAUAUAUAUAUAUAUAUAUAUAUAUAUAUCUCAAGUGGUUCAUUUUGACGGGGGUGGGGAGAAGAAGGGAAUUGUUGGAAUUGUAGAAGGAAUGUUAAUGGUGGGGACUUUAGGGAAUGUUGGGAGUGUGGGCAAUUGUGGGUUGGCUGGCAAUGGAGGUAGUGUUGUGGGCAAGGUAGGCAAUGUGGGCUUUGGCAGAGUUGGGGCAGUGGGAAGUGUAGGCAAGGAGGGGUUCGAGGGCAGUGUCGGUAGCGAGGGCAACGGGGGCAGUGUGAGGUUUGGCAGAGAUGGGAUUGUAGGGAUUGCCAGUGGUGGCGGUUUUGCUGGUGUGUCCAAAAGUUGGCGAGCUGCUUGGCUCAUUUGGGUGCUCGAGACUGCCAAUACCACCAUGAAAGAAAAAAUGAAGCAAAGCUUGGGAAAAGCCAUCGUUGAAGUUGAGAGGAGAGUAAAGCUUGAAGAAGGUGGUAAGCAAAUCUAAUAAUUCAAAUGUUGUUUCUUGUUGUGAAAAGGAGAGUGUCUCCAUUGGCUUUAUAUAGACAGAAACAAUGAGUUUGAUGAGUUGUGGUCGGAUGAAGUGGGAAAAAGCAUUAGUUAGUUUACCUCCCUAACUUAUAAUUAAGAGUUGGUUGCAAAUUCAACCCAAGUUAACCAAACAAGAAAGGCUUUUCAAACUCACGCAAACCACAAGUCAUCUAUAUGCCAAAUUAAGAGCGAAAAAACAUAUCAUGGGCCCGUUUCAAUUUGGCUUUUCAAACUCAUGCAAACCACAAGUCAUCUAUAUGCCAAAUUAAGAGCGAAAAACAUAUCAUGGGCCCGUUUCAAUUUGGCUUUUCAAACUCACGCAAAACAUACGUCGUGAUGUUACUAAGUGAAAUGAAUUUUAAUUUGAAUUGAUUUUUUUGUUGUAGAAUAUUCUGUAUUGAAAUUGUUCUAAAAUUGUAGACAUUGAUAUGAUUAAGGUAUUGAAUUAGAAAGACCAUGCUCAAGUAUAGGUUGAUUGGACUCAACAUUGGUUCUUUUCAUUUCACCUCCAAGGGUACCUUAACAUUGGUUCUUAUUUGAGGGAUUUCUCAACUGAAGCGCUCUUUCUCUACGAUUUUUUUUUUCAACGAUCUAAACCAUCUAUUUUUUAAGUAUACAUUCAUAGAUCAUCCUUACAAAAAAUUAGACAAAUCGAAAACCGUUUUGACAUCCAAUUGUGUGCUACAAAAUCAAUGAAUAUGGUGCUUUAAGAAAGUACUAAAAUUUCAAUAACUCAAUUGAGUAAUUAAAUGAUAUCGGAUUCAAGUGAUUUUUUAUAGAGAUAAUAUAUAUAUACAAGAAGCUUUAGUUGAGGAAUCCCUCAAAUAAUAUUUGAGGGACACACUCUUGUAGGGCCCACUCUAUACUGUAUUUCACUAAUCCCAAUCCCUCAAAUAUCUUUACCCGCUUCAGCAAACAGGAAUUUACUGCGUGUUGUGUCAAUGAGGAGCUUCAAACUAAGAGCAUCCACAAUCAUGCUCCUUAUUUCUUAGCUAAAAUUUAGCUAAAAACACAAAAGAGCUAUUUUAGGAGCUCUCUUAAAAAAUUCAACUCCAACCACACUCCCUAAAUUGGAGAGUCAUAUAUACUUUACUUUUUUUUAAAUUUAAUUACUAAUUUUUCAAUAAUAUUUUCAUAUUCAAAUAAUGAAUAUUGCCAAAUAAUUGUAAGUUUAAUUGUUAUUUAAUUUUGAUAUUCUAUGGUUUUCUGAUUUGAAAGGAUAGGCUGUCAAAACAAGAAAUCAUAUGAAAAGAAUUAUAUAUAUAUAUAUAUAUAUAAGUGUUUGUGUUUUGCAAAAUACCUACAGGGAAAAGAAAUUUUUUUUUCAAAAAAAAGGUGUUUGUGUGUUGCAAAAUAUAUACAGCGAAAAGAAAUUUAUAAAAAAAAAAAAAAGGCGAUCGUGCUCUGCAAAACACCUACAGCGAAAAGUAUUUUUGUUUUGCAACAAUAUAAUGCAUAAAUAAAUGAUAAAAUUAAAGACAUCAUUAAAUAAAUACUUAAAAUAAUAAUAAAAUAUAAUAACAUUUAAUUAUAGGGAGUCAUUAGGAGUCCUUUCUUUCUCAUCAGAUUUAGGAACUCCUAGAGAUCUCUCUAAUUUAGGAGCUGGAUAGGGAGCAUGGUUAAGGGUGUGUUUUUUCAAUUCCUCCCUAAAUUUUAACUAAAGAGGUGAUUUAGAGAGCUCAAUAUAAAUGCUCAGUGCCAUACUUAGAGGUUGCCAUCGAAAAAAAAUGAAAAGCUAAGUGUCAACUUGGAGGUUGUAUAUAAAUAUUGGGUGCCAUGGGAUUCCAGCCCAUGAUGGAGCAAUUACUAAUCCUAGAGUUCUCUAGAGUAUUAUUAGUGGUACAUGAAGGUUGAAAUGACUCUUCAUAUUCCAAUGCAAAGCAUUGAAUUUGGUGGCUGCUGCCUAUCCAUAUGGAAUUAUGUAGCCCUCUUACUAACGUAUGUAAUGCUAUAUUUGGUGCAUUGUAUGUGGUGAUUGCCCUCGUACAUUUUUUUGUCCAAGGAUUGCCCUCUUACUAACUUAUGUAUAAAAAGGAUUAGGGUUUACAUAAUGUGGCCAGCUUUAUUUGGUUUGAGUGUCCCUUGAUCUUAUUCAGGACGUUCUAUUAUGUGAUUUGUAGAGUCGGGGUCAGACGUGUUGUCCCCCAUUGUAAUUCUUCUUUUUAUCAAUAAAAUUUCCCUCGUUCCGUCCAACUCCUUAUAAGUUCUUCGAAGGUUUGUUAAAUUUUCGAUGCGAGACAUUUCCUUACAUCCUUACACACCGUGGCAUGUAUGGCUAAAUUUCAAGUCUAACACAUAGAUAAUACAUUAUUGGGUGACAUUGAGCACGUGAUUGUUAGGCUUCACGCGUGGGCAAUCCUAACUCUAAUACCAUAAAGGAAGUUGAGAGUCUACCCUAAAAUUAAUUGUUAAUGAAAAAAUAGCUCAAUUCCUUAGAAGCCAUUCAAAGGUUUGUUAACUUACCAAUGUGAGACGUUUCUUCACAUCCUCACAUUUUGAAUAUAUAUUCUAGGUUGGAGUAGAAUGAUUGGACUCAACAUUGGUUCCUUUAAUGUGGCUUUGCUAUAUAUAUACACACUCUCAGGCUCGCACUAGAAGAGCUCGCAGCCUGCUUAUAAUCCUUAAAAUUUCGUAAGAUUUUUGCAAGGCGUAAACAUAAUUUGAAAAUCCAAUAAAUAAAAAAAUUGGGGGCAAAUAAUCCGAAAAGAACGACAUUGCAUCUCAUUUAAGCAGCAAAUCUGUGAAGACUUCCAAAAUAACCAGGUAAUAACAAAUUAAACCAGCUCAAAAUAGAAACAUCUUAGAGAAGCUUCAGAAUGUCAAUUCCAGAGGUGCUAAGUUGAGGUGCUCAUGCUGCAUUGAUAUUCUACCUAAGGAACACUUGGGUGAGAACUGACUUUGUCUGCAAUGAUGCCUUUAGUAGUUUCACACCCUAAAAAUAAAGCAAAACAAAAAUGAUUGUUAGUCUGAAUAAAAUGACAGUAGAGUUGUGUCAAAUUAGCUAGGUUACAACUUAGAGAAUUUGUCUCUGGAAUAAUCCAGCUAUAACCAAAUAGAAUUGAAAGUUCAGAUUUAUUUAAGCAAACUCAAGAAAAUGAUGAAUUGGUUCACGACUCAAAACCAUAGAAAAAUUUAUGUCUUUAAGCAAACUCGGAUUUAUUUCCCUACUGUUUCCCUCCUUGAUUUAUCUAUCACAAACAAAGAAAUUGAAAAAUUUUCAAAGGGCAUCAGAUGAAAACAAAGAUAGAACAGGUAUAUACAAUUAACUAUGUAUAAAUAGUCCCCAAGGGUACAACUUAGAAAGGGAAAACUAUCACAUCAAACCCUUCUUUGGAAAACUUAUCGAAGAUCGUUAUGUGUUAUCAACUUACCACUUAUACAGUGGUGGAUCCAGGAUUUUUCCUCUAUAGGGUCAACGUGUAAAAGUUCCUAUAUUUUUUAGACGAAAAUAACUCCAAAAAUUAAAAUGGUAACACUUGCAUUCAUAAUUUAUGGUAAAACACAAACUCCCUUUCAUCCAUGUCAGUACACAUAUUCAUGUGUUCUACGACUUUAAUUGGCUCAUGAAUAUGUUCCUAUUUUUGUAUCUGUUAUAAUUUUGAACCUAGUUUGGGUUUAACACAAAAGUUUACUGACAUGGAAAAUCAUGAUGUAUGAGUAUUGCAUGUCAAACAGCAGCCAAUAUAGCCUUCAUAGGCUAAAAUGCAGGUCAAAUAGCAUGUCCACAGCGAUGUCCACUUUGAUCAUAAUGAUAGACAAAGCGGCAGGCCAAGCGUUUAAAAAACAAAAAGGAAGCCAGCGCACGCAGCUGGGCUUAAAGUAGCGCACAGACAGCAGCAACUGGUUGGGGCAUUUCGUCGAGCAUACGGUGGGCGACUGGUUGGGGCAUUUCGUCGAGCAUACGGUGGGCGACUGGUUGGGGCAUUUCGUCGAGCAUACGGUGUUCUUUCCUAAAAUAGAACAUGUCUCAUGUUCGAAUCCCCCUCCCAUGUCAAUCAAGACAAUUCAUGAAGGCAAACAAUCGAAAAGGACUGUAUAACCUAUAAAGGCACAGAUAAGAUAGAGCACACCGUUAAUAAAGAAAUUGGUCGACGUACCUCAUCCAUUCCUAGAUCAACCACCUUCUCUUCAAGGACACCAACAUCCUUAACACUGAACCGGCUGAGCAAAGUGAUACAAGAAAUAGUAGACAAGGGCUUCACUUCGAGAUCAUCCAUUAUCAUGUAUGUAACAAGGCCCUUCACAUACCCUACCUUGCCAGCACCGGAAUAAGUAGCCUGUACCUCACUAGUCGGUGAAGCAACAUAAGUAACGGCGGUGGUCAUGGAGUGCUUGCACCCUGGACAUAUGGCUUUAGGGUCGUCAGCCACAUAAGAGAUGCGGUAGAUGCAACUACCAUUCGAACAACGGUAGAUCGUCUUUGGAGCAUCAGAUUUGACAUCGGUUAACAAACCAAGGAGGUUAGGUCCAGCAGCAACGGGUUCUUUUGGUUUCAGGAGGGUGUCUUUGUUAAGAUUGGGCUGCAAAUAUUCGUCGUUGAGAGUUUCAACGCUCUCAUAAAGUUUGCCUAAGCUACCAACCAUGGCAUCCUUAGAGAGCAGCCUGAUGAUAGUGCCAGCCGGAAGAGACAGGAGAGUGAAGAGAAAGUCCACAAAGUCCUUACCCGCUUCAGCAAACAGAACUUUAUUGCGCGUUGUGUCAAUGAGGAGCUUCAAACUAACGGUGCCAGAGUUAGAGGCUGCCAUCGGAAAAUGAGGAGGAGGCUGCCAAAGUUAGGGCAUCUUCAUCUCCAAUGAUGAAGAUUCAAAUUGGACAAGUUCUCUCCAAUGGGCCGGAUUAUAUGGACCGGACCUGUACUAUAUUGUGCUUGUGGCAUAUGUAUUAAAAUAAAGGAAAAAUUUUUUUUGGGGUCGGUUAUUUAUUUUCUUUGUAUGUUUUGGUAAGAAAUUAAUUUGGGAAUGCAACUGACUAUAUGGUGUGGAAAAUUAGACCAUUCAUAGCAGGGUGACAAAUUUUAGGGAGGAAUUAAAAUAGAGUUUUACUAUUUAAACCCCGUAUUUUUUUUUGUUCACUCCAAUUUUUAAUUUAAAUUUUCACAAUUUCUAAUAAAACUCCAUUAUCUUCUCAAACUAACCUUAAAUACACACCUAGCAGAAAAAAAAAAAAAUGAAAAACUCAUCAACCUCACACCCAACACCCCACUAUCAACUGAACCAACAAACUCUUUCAAAUUUUCAAUGCGAUCUCGAUAUGGACUAUACCAAUCAUAUACUUGGAGGUUGGAAUGAUUAUGUCUAAACAGACCAACAUUCAUCAUUCUUGGCGCCUAGAACAUCGUAAAGACUUUGAAUCUCUACCAACAACAUGUUUACUGUGGAUUUUCAAAUCAAUUAGAGGAAAUGAACAAGUAAUUUUUACAUGAUCUUUCGACUGCUAGUGGCACAACACAAGCACGAGAUGGAUUGUGCUCAGAAAGAAGAGCCGCGGCUAUUGUUUUUUCAGGAAAUAACAGAGCGGUGGGCUUUGUUUUUGUAACAAAGAGCUGUUGACUAUCCUUAUAUGACUCUUUAUUUAACCGCAACAAAAAUUACUUGCUUAAUUUGAAGAAGAGUGGUGGAGUGUGUGGGGUGUGUGAGGUGUGUAUGAUGUACUAGGGUUAAGUAUUAAGUUGGAUGACCUUUUUUGUCUUUUUACAUUUUUGUCUUUUUACACAAUAAUAAAACUUAAGAGCUUAAUGAUUUAAGUAUUGGGGUGAACAAAGAAAAGUGUGAGCUUAAUGAUUUAGCUUCAACCUUACUCCUUAUCCACCUCCUAAAAUAGGGAGAUCUCUAGGAGCUCCUAAAUUUGAGGAGAGAAAUGACUCAUCGUGGCUCCCUAUAAUAUAAUGUUGGACCAAUCACAUUGAUUUAAAAAAUCUUUAUAAUAUUUAUGACUCCUUAAACUGUAAUAACCCAAAACAAAAUAUCUAAAAUGAAAUAAAAUAUCUAAAAAGUAAGGAUAAUAUCUUCUAGCAAAAAGACAAUUUUGCCCUCACAUAAUUUAAUAGAGAAAAAAUUGAUUUUUUGAUCGAGAAAGAAUUUAGAAAUUUCGUUUGCGCCAUUGCGUAGAUCACGGCGAAACGAGUCCGCAGACACGGAGUGGACCCGGAUCGGAGUUGUAACGAAGAAAAUACGAUCAAAAUACCGCGAAGGGCAAAAUGGUAAUUUAGCCAAAAAGUCAGAUUUUUAACCCUUUUCCUUCUCUCUCUCCUCAUUUCUCUCUCCUCCCGAUUUUUUUGCUCCAGCCGCCAACCUUUCCUCCUUCUCCUUGAUGUUACGGCCGCCACGCUUGGAGCCGAUUUCCGCCGUUGGAAUCAAACGAACCACCACUCGACCGCCGUCAUUUUAUGACCCUUCGCCGGAGUUUCCGUGGCCGGAGAUCGCCGGAAAACUCCAUUUUGCCGGAUUUUCGUGUUCAAACUUCCAACUCAGUUUUCUCUUUCAAUUCUCCACCAAAACGAUCGAGUAAGGUAUGGUUUCUCAGCUAUUUUUCGUGGUCUAACUGAUGGAUAUAUGGGUUUCGAUCGAUUUUGGCUCUAGAACGUUCGAUUUUCAACUUGAAAAUCGGCCGAAAGUUCGGCCGCCGUGAUCUACUGUCUCUGAUCACUUUUUGGGGUAUGUCCAAGAACAAAAGUGACUCCAAAUGGGGUGUUUUACCUAGGAUAGGAGUUUGGAGUCCUAGUUCUGAGAUUUUUCAACCACCCGAAAUCGCUUAAGACACCCAAAUCUGCCCGCGCGUGCUGGGGCGCGUGGGCGAGGGUGGUGAAGUAAUUUUAUACAGUUUUGUGACCCUCGUGUCGUCACGAGCACGUAGAAUUUCGCGGAUCUCGAUUCGGAGUCCGUUUGUGCCCCGAACGGAUUUUCCAUAUCGCGCGAUCCUUGGGUGCAGUGUCGUCUAAUCGUUGGAUCGCGCUGAAUUUUUGAUAUGUCGUACUACAUGAUUCCAGGAUCGUGUAGGAUUCAACGGAUUGCGAAUCGGAGUCCCGAAUACUCCGAAAUCGCGAACCCUGGGGCUAGGGUUUGGAUUUUAAGCGAUAACGCGAUUUCGGCUAAUCCGACCGCCCGUUUCGGACCGAAUUCGCAGAACAUGGCUCCUUCUCUAUGAGGAAUCUUCAGAGAAGCCCAGAUUGGCCAUCGGAGAUCAUGGACCCCACGGGUCCCGGGUCGGCCGAUCGGGCAGCUUAUCGCUUAACUAAGCGUCGGGUCUUCCAAAACUGAUCUAAGAGUCUGAAAGGCUAAAGUGGGUAUAAGGAAAAUUUUAUAACGAGUGCGCGUAUUUCUAGGAGCCGGGGGCAGGGUGUUUAAUUUAAAUUCUUUUUAUUCAGCAGUUUAUUAAUUUAUUAUUCAUGGAUAGUCAGGCCCCAGAGAUCCAGUCGUCCCGCAGAAGGGACCUUCGAAGGGUCCAAUUAGCUCAGACCAUCAGUGAGUGGACUUUCUUUCAUAAAUGAUUUUAUAUAAAUGAGUUAUAUAAAGCUUUUUAUAAAUGAGUUUAUAUGAGUAAAUUUCAUUAUUUGAUUUUGAAUAAGUUUUACUGAAUGUUUUCCGAGCAUGGUUUGUGCCGUAAAAAUAUCUUUAUUUCUAUGCUGCUUAGUUGAACAUGGUAGAACGUGACAGAAAGCAGAGUUGAGAUUUAUAUCAGAGAAAAUAGCAGCUUAGUUUCAGACUUGCCAAAUAUAGUGAAUUAUCAGAUUUUUCUAAAUUAGAACCACCAUGUACCCGCUUGUUUUUGGUGAUUACCCUCAUACGGACCAAUGUUUACGGACAUCCAGUCUGUUUACAGUUCUGUCAGUGCACUUGACAUUGCCUCACGAGUUUCGGGGACGCUCGGACUGUGAGUGCCAGGAUUUGCGGCUCGGCUGACUCUGUGUCCCCGAGACGUGCCAGGAUUUGCGGCUCGGCUGACUCUGUGUCCCCGAGACCUGCCAGAAUUUGUGGCUCGGCUGACUCUGUGUCCCCGAGACCUGCCAGGAUUUGCGGCUCGGCAGACUUGGUGUCCCGAGACCUGCCAGGAUUGCGGCUGGGCUGACUCUGUGUCCCCGAGACCUGCCAGGAUUGCGGACCAGGCUGACUGCGGUCCCCUGUAUCUUGCCAGAGCGGCUCGAGUCGACUUGGUGUCAUCGGGACCUGCCGGCGGAUCAGGCUGACCAUAGUCCUCUGAUUUCGCCAGUUUGCGGCUCGGGUAGCCUGCGUGACGCCCGAGACCUGCCAGGGGAAUUGACGGAUUUUCAGGGGUACACUCAGGUGGUAGUUUUAAAGUAAUUUGAGCACUUUUAUGCAGCUAUUGUUUUUCAAUCAUCUUAUAUCAGUUUUCUCAAUAAACGUGCAUGUUGUAUCUCUUCAUAUAAUUGUUCAGCUUUACGAAUCUAUAUACAUACUGUUACAUAUUUAUAUUUAGAGGAAUACUUUAUAUUAAACACAGGUGAACUUUAGCUUUACUUAUCAAGUUAUUUUUACUAUGGGGGUUACUAUGAUUGUAAACUGUUUUCCAGAACCUUAUGUUUGGUCCACUCACAUUUUUAACCUGUUUUUCGCCCCCAGGCCGUAGAAGUACGCAGGAUCCACCACCGGGCCAUCCCUAGCUUCCGCACCACCAAGUAAGGUAGAGUUUUGUGGAUAAAUUCUUGAAAUCCUGUGAACUUUAGAAUUUGCUCUGAUAUCUGGUUUUAGUGGAAAACUGAAGCUGGCAAAUAAGUGGUUAUCCUAGUCUGGCUGUUGGUGUGAUAUUUGAGCUUGUUUGACAGGUGGAAGAUUUUGGGAUUGGUCAAAUUACAGGGGAGACUCUGUCGAAUUUUCGGCAGAAGCCUAAGGGAAAUUUUAAAAAGAAUUUGAAACAAGAAGGGUAAAAAGGUCUUUUGUGCCCGACAUUCGCCAGGUGUCGGACACGCACAGGACUUGGCUCGAAUUCCAAAGUGGAAAUUGGGUCGGGUCCUGUCAUAAACUAUGGAGUAUGUAUGAUUGAAGUUCAAAUUUUAUAGAGAGCUCCUAAAAUAGUUUUUUUGUAUUUUUUUUAAACUAAAUUUUAACUAAAAAAAUAGAGAGAGCAUGAUUUGUAGAUGCUAGAGGCUAAAGCUAAAUGAAGGGGGCAAUGGGUCGUGUCGUGUCGGGAUAAUAAACGUGUCAAGAAUGAUCAACCCAAAACUGACCCAUUUAAUAAAUGCGUCGUGUCGGGUUCAAGUUGUCUUAAACAGGUAUUAAACAAGUUGUUUGGUUAAUAACUUGUUUAAUAAAAAGUGGUAGCAAUUAAUAAAGCAACAUCAAUAUGUACAAAAAACCAUAAACUUCGAUGACCCUUGAUUAAAUUUCAUAACAAUUCAAAAAAUUAAAAAAAAAAAUAAAGAAACUAGUUGUCCACAGCAAGAGACUUUAGUUUGGCCUUUUGGACAUCCUCUCUUGGGUUUUCACUCAUUGCUUAUUGGGCUCAUCACUUGAGCUUCCAAAGAUCACUCUCUUAGCAAGAGAGAAACUUGUUUUGUGAUCUCCUUGCUUGCGUUUACCCGGUUUCUCCAAGGCCUUCAGCUGCUCUUGCAAGUCUCUAGAGUAAAUAGCUACCAUAUCUGAUAGCUGUUUAUUCUCCUCCUGCAACAUUUCAAGAUGGAAUCGCGUCUCUUUCAGAUCUUUGCCCUCCCCCUUUUCAAUUUUUGGAUGACGCUCUGACAAUCUUCAACCAAAUGUCAUUUUGCCACUAACUAAGCUCUUAGCACUUGCACUUCAUGAGAUUUCACUAUAAGGCGAUGACCCACACUUGUGACUGAUGCUGCACUUUGCACGCUCAAUACCAUGGCAUCCUUACUACCAUGUUAUCAUCCCCUGUUCCCAGAACACAAACAUCCCUUGGAGUCACGAAACUCCUCACAACUCCAAUGCUAACAUCGUUGUCUAUGAGUAUUGAAUCGUUUAUUAUAAUGGGCCCUCGUGAGGAAGCAAAGUAGAGCAUCCACACUGGUGCAACCUCAGGUAGGUUCAGAUCGAGAGAAAUGGGAAGGAAGAAAAUUGGCGGAGCUAGGUUUUAUUUAUUUUUUAAUUUUAUAUAUUUAUUUAUUUAUUUUUGAGUUGUGAUUUUGUAUUUUCCCCUCUUUUCCUUUUAUAGAUGAACCCUAGCCACUGGCAUUCCACCUGUCCCCAAAUAAUUUAUCGCGACAUGACAUUUCUGAACGUACGUGUUCAGCAAAGUCGUCAGGACUUUUCAUGACACCCGUAAUUUUUUCUUAGGGAUUUGUAGGGACCUUGUUAUCACUCGGAAUUUCUGAAACAACUAUCAAUCAUGUUUUGUCAUUACAUUAAAAAAAAUCAUAACUUUGGGCGGAGAGAAAGAAAAAAGAAAAAAAGAGAGAAGGAAAAGAAAGAUAGAGAAGGGAGAAAGAAAAGAAAGAAAAAAGAAAGAGAGAAAAGAGAGAGAACAAAGAAACAAAAGAAAACUAGCGGAGAGAAAGAAAAAAGAAGACAGAGAGAAGAGAAAAGAGAAAGAAAAAAGAAAGAGAGAGAGAGGAGAGGAGAGAGAAGAGGGAAAGAAAAGAAAGAAAAAAUAAAGGGAGAGAGAAGAUAGGAGAGAAAGAGAAGAAUUUUUAUUUAUUUAUAAGUGGUGGGAAGAGAUUGACCCAAAAAUGACCCGAAUUUUAAUCGUUUUGAAUUUGCUAAUUUCUCGUGUAGGUUUCGAAUCGUGUCCGAAAUUGCCACCCUUGAAUAUUGGUUCCCUUUUACCUUCUAUUCUUAUUUGGUUCUCGUCUUGAAGCUCUCUCAAGUAUCAAGCUCGGAUAUCUCAUUGGGAUGGCAAUGUGACUAUCCCUAUCCCCACCUUCAUACUCAUAUUAUUCAAAAUGGAGAUUCCUCAUCCCCUCAUUCGUUAGGAGAACAAAUUUCCCACCCUGCCACAUUACAAAAUACAAAUAAAAAAUAAUUUAUGAAUGAGAAAAAAAAGUUCGAAACUAAAUAUACAACACAAAACUUUUAGUUUAGACUUACAUUUUUUUAAAUGUAUUAUUUAAUUCAAUAUAUAAUAUGAUAUGUGGAACAUAAAAUUUGGUGAGAGUCUACGGAAGAGAGACUUAACAAUAUAUUCAAAUGAAAAGUAAAUAAUAUAUAUUCUAAACAGGGUGGGUUCGGGUUGGGGAUUAAGAGAAUUUAUAGAAUACCAUCCCUACCUCGCCCAGAACAUCAUAUCCGAAAAUUUUCCCAAAAUCCAUCCCCAUAUCCAAUUUCUAUCUUUCAUACCCGACCUAUUAGAGUUAAAGGCCCACGAAGAGCCUAAUUCAGGGGAAAAAUUGUCAUUCCUCUGCUUUGCAAUCUCUUGCUCAAGGUAAUUGUUUGUACCAAAAUUGGAAAUUUGUCUUGGAUAAACUAAGGGAUUUUGGUCAUUGCACAGUACCAAUAUAUGGCUCAUUUUUGCUUAAAUUAUGGCUGGUUCAUGAACUAAUUCUAGCCAAUCCUAGUUGAUUGAAGAAAGAAGUUCCUAGCUAGAAUGAAGAAUUGAGUGGUAGCUUUAAAAAAUAUAUAUUGAAUGGAGCAAUGAUGAAGAUGUUGGAAAGGGCGGCGCACCAGCAAACAAAGGAUAACAAAAUGGAAUGGAAAGGAAAUAUAAAAUAAUGAUAGUGCAGUGUUGUAAAAUGAACGAGAUAUGUAAGAAUAUUGAGCUACAUGUAAAGUAAAUGAGACAUAAUAUUUAACGAGGUUUGGCCAUGCCUACGUCCUCGGAGAACAGCAUCAGUAACUUUUCACUAUGUAAAAUAAUAGGGCUAUAUCUUUAGUGUUCACAAUCUCACUGGCUCACUGAUUUUUCUCUCUGCUCUCUCCUCUCACUCUUCCUCUUUCUUCCUUCUUUGCCGGGGCUUUCUUUCUUUCUCACUUGGUGUGCUCUCAUCCUUUUUUUGGAGAGAUAUCUUUUCUACUGAUGGAGGUAUCUAUUUACAGCCCAAAAUAUUGGCUGAUCACUCACAAGCAUUUGGCUUCACUCGAAUGUUUGGCAGACAAGCAUCAUUAUUAUUCUUCAAUCAAUUGGGUAGUGGGUUCUACCAUUUUGGGCUCCAUUAUUGACUUUACAACAUUCCCCCUUGGAGACCACAAAUGAUAUGACGGUUGCCUCAUUCAAAUCUUGCUUGAAGAAAACCAAAUGAGGUAGAAAACUAAUGGAAGGAAGAAGAGUACAACAAUUAGUAUAGCAUACUUCUGGAUGCUCCUCCUAAUGAAUAUAUCCCCCUGAUAUCUUCAUGACUAUCUUUCUAGAGGGAAGAUCUUUCGAACUGAGUGAGGGAUGUAGCCAUCAACAAUUCAUGUAGUUGACUAAGUAAAUAUAUUUUAAGUGAGCUAUCUCUAUGUAAAUCAUAGAAAUUUUCAGAGUCAGCAUAUCAAACAAAACUUGGGCUAUUUGUAAGUUCACUUGAAAAUAAUAUGAUUGUAUAUGGUGUUUUGCAGAGAUAGCAUCAAAUAUGCUUCACAUCAUCCCAAAGUGGUGGUGAUGGAGCUGUGCUUUAUCUGGAAAAUACAAUGUCUGGUCCUGUAUACUUCUGGAAUAUCAUUUAAGUGCCCAAACGGAUAAUCCACAUAAAAAUGCUUCAAUACUUUCUUAGUAUAAGCAAGAAUCUUGUUGGCAUUAUGCUCAACCUUCAAGUCGAGACAAAUAUUUCUUUAACCCUUCAGGAGUUUUAACCAAGUAUUAACUCUUUAGGAGUUCUGAUCAAUUAUCAACUCUUCAGGAGUUGUAAUGUGGUGCAACCAUAUCAUAAUUAAUAAACUCAUUGAGGCAAUUUAUACAUAUUAGUAUUGAGUACAAAAUUUGUGCUUCAAGCACAUAUCCUUCAGAGACUUGCUUCAUGCAAUUUCAAUCAUUCAGGGAUUUUAUUUAAGGAAUUACACUUCAUGACACAUUAUAUAGCUUUAUAUCCAUCUAUUUGUUCUUCUUGUAUAUCUUUAAAGAAUCGCUUCUGGCGAUAUGCUCUGUGCAUUUAAUAACCCUUAAAGAUAACACGUUGGUCUCCGUAAAUGUGCAAUAAGAAGGCACAAUUGCAUCUAUAACAUUCCUUGUUUAUAUCAGAAACAUUGUGUCAUACAAAGUGAGUGUAUUCCUCUUUAUUCCGAAUACCCAGGUAUAACUUUCAGGGUUAACAUAUUUUGGGGUUCGUCUUACGGGUUUGUUCCUUCAUGUUCACUCUCAUCUAUAUAAUGGAAUUGCCUCUUUUCAUUUUUGGCUAAUGAUAUUGUCGACAUUUAAUAAUAGAACAUGGUUCCAAUCAACAUAGCCCAUUGAUGAUUUGAGUAGCUACUCCAAAAUCAAAAAUUGUCAUUCAUCAAUUCAUGAUCCCACUAUUCUUAUGUGCGUGUGCAUGCAUCAAUUAGAAGCAUUUCUUUGCUUUUGGGUACCCAAGCCACUUCAGGGGGCUUUUAUUGUAAUAUAGUAGUGAAGAGCAUUAACUACUAUAUACCCAAAACUUCAAGUUCGGGAUUUCUCAUUUAUUAGGAUCCAUGGGCUUCCGACCCAGAUAAUAUAAUAUAACAAAAUAUGUGGGGAGCCUCAAUUCAUCAUUUGAGGUUUAUCCUGAUGUUAUCCAUUUCACGGUGUAUUCUUAACAACCAGAAUUUACAAGAUAUAUUUCUUCCUUGAGGUGUCGAUUUUAAAUAGAAUCGAACUUUAUUAAAUUCAUUAUUUUCUUAUACCAAAGAAAUAUGUGGUGUACCACAAUUUGCAAUAAUACCUCAAGGGUUGUCCAUUUAACUGUUGGAACUUCAGGUUCUCAAUAUUGUCAGAUUUUGAACUUCAGGCCAAAAUCGCAUAUUUUCAUAAUAUGGACAUUUUUAUAAUUUCCUAUACAUAUUUCGGGACUUCAGGCCCUUACAUAAUUAUCCAUGUUUUAAGGAGCUUCUAGCAUCUCAUUUAAUUGCUCAUUCAUGAGUUUAAGGAACUAAAGGUUCCCUUUUGUAUAUAGUGACGAUUUACCUAAAAUGGUACUAUUCAUCAGGUCAUGAAUACGUGUCUAUUUAUGCGUACAAUACAUUUGCCAGUACAGUUAUUAUUCAUGUGUACUGUACUAUGAACCAAUACGGUACUAUUACAUUAUCAAGGAACUCCAGGUCCUUAUUUACAUUUCAAAGAUCAAGGAUCUCAAGUCUGAUAACUUGUUUACAAAUAUAGUACUGAAAAGACUACCAGCUCUCAUAUCAUUAUCAUCAUCAAGGAUCUUCAGGUCCUGAUGUAGUUGUAUGAUAAGGAUUAAGGAACUUCUGGUCCUAAUCUUUAUAUGCUGUAAAACUCAUCAUAUUAUACAAUUUAUUCAUAAAAUAAAUUGCUUAUACAGACCAUAUUUUAAAUAAAGGUAAAUGUGCGGUAAAAUAAAUUCAUAAAUUAAAUUACUUGUUGCAUAUACUUUAAUUCCGCACCAUACUUUAAAUAAUAAAGUAUAUGUGCGAUAAAGUAAAUGUACUUGUAUGGGCACUAAUUCUACUCCAUACUUUUAAAUAAAAAGUAAGGGCAGUUGUGUGGACGAUAAACUUUCUUUACACUUUUAAAUAAAUAUUAUUGUAUGAGUAAUAAAACUGCACCAUACUGUAAAUAAAGUAAAUGUGGGGAUAAAACCGCCACCUAACAAUAAAGUAAGAAAAAUGUGUUGAUGGAAGGAAGAAAAGUAGUAAAGGAGCUGUGGUCUGCUAGAGAGAGGAAGCUGCUGACUUUUAUAAGAGAGAGAUAUAUGAGCAAAGUCACCGAAAAAUGAUAACUUUAUGUCUCUUUACCAUAUUCAUUUAUUUUAUUGAUAUUGUAUACUAUUCAAUACCACUUCCUCAUGCUUGACCAUACAAAGAGAGUUUGUACUAGUGGCAGUUGAGAAAGCAACAAGAUUGGAAGCAUACGCAUAUGCACAAAGACUACUUUAACUUGGUAAUGAUGGUCCAUGUUGAUUGCACUUACCCUUAGUAUUAUUAACGGCCUCCCAUUGAUAAUAUGUUAAUAGUACAAAGGGUCCAUUUUAUUAGUGGUUAGUAAUAGGAAAGUAAAUAAAUAUAGUAAAUUAUAUUCUCAUCAAAUCAUCAUUCCAUAUUCAUAUUAUAUAUAUAUAUAUAUAUCAAUACAUAUAUAGUGGUCAUAUCAAAGUGCAAUCAACAUGGACCAUCAUUACCAAGUUAAAGUGGUUUUUGUGCAUAUGCGUAUGCUUCCAAUCGUGUUGCUUUCUCACCUAUCACUAGUACAAACUCUCUUUGUAUGGUUAAGCAUGAUGAAGUGGUAUUGAAUAGUAUAGAAUAUCAAUAAAAUAAAUGAAUAAGAUAAAGAGAUUUAAAGCUUAUCAUUUUUAUGUGGCUUUGCUCAUAUAUCUCUCUCUUAUAAAAGUUAGCAUCUUCCUUUCUCUAGUAGACCACAGUUCCUCUACUACUUUUCUUCCUUCCAUCAACGCAAUGAUUAGUAGUAUAAAUAAUAGUGCAGCACAUAAAACUAUACCUGAGAAUUUUUCGUGCUGAUAACAUGUUGUAAAAUGAACCGGAUAUGCGAGAAUAUUAAGCUGCAUAUAAAGUAAAUGAGACACAAUAUUUAACGAGGAUCAGCCAUGCCUACGUCCUCGGAGAGCAGUAGCAGUAACUUUUCACUAUGUAAAAUAAUAGGGCUACAUCUUUAGUGUUUACAAUCUCACUGGCUCACUGAUUUUUCUCUCUGCUCUCUCCUCUCACUCUUCCUCUUUCUUCCUUCUCUGACGGGGCUUCCUUUCUCACUUGGUGUGCUCUCAUCCUUUUUCUGGAGAGAUUCUACUGAUGGAGGUGUCUAUUUAUAGGCCAAAAUAUUGGCUGUUCACUCACAAGCAUUUAGCUUCACUCGAAUGUUUGGCAGACAAGCAUUAUUAUUAUUCUUCAAUCAAUUAGGUAGUGGUUCUACCAUUUUGAGCUCCAUUAUUAACUUUACAACAUGUAGGAGCUUGUUCUAAAAGAGUCUGUAUUUUUAUCCCUUUUUUUUUUCUUCUAUUUUUGGAAUGCAACGAUUUGAGAAGGGGGCACUUUUUCCUAGGAUUCAAACUUGUGACCAAUAACGAGGGGUAGAGACCUCACCACUGUGGUAAACCCCUCAGCUUUAUCCUUGCUUUUUUGGCACUAAUUCGUUCCUACCCACCCCACUCACCAUUUGGUGGCAAGUAGAGGAAUUGUUUUAUUUUUUUAAUCAUAAUGGAUCCAGCCUUCAUCAUUGGAGCCACUCACCACCCGGGAGGAUCUCGUUUAUAAAUAGCAGCAAUCAAGCUCGAAGGAGAACUACAAUCAAACAAAUCAAACAACCAAAAAACUCAAAAUAAAGCUUCAAACUCAAAGCUCACAAUCCAAGGCCUUCGAAUAGAGGGGAGGCCUUGGGCAUAGACUGGUAAGGCCGCCGUUUAGGUCUCUAAAUUGAGAGGGCCCCAAUUUGCAUAAACUUUUAUAUAUACAUACGUAUGUUAUUUUUUUAAAAUAUACUAUAUUAAUAUUAUGUUAGACCCAAAUAUUGUAAAAAAUAAAAUCCCAAUUAUUCAUUGUAAAACUAAAACGGGGAAAUUCAACAAACAGCCCAUUAUUAUUUAAACUUAUAGCUUAAGUCAAUUAAUCUAGUUGAAUGGAAAAUUUUAAUAAAUAAAAAAGUUAACCUAGUUGAACAAGGUAAGAAAUAAAAUACAAGGAUGAUCUAUUUAAGAGUUUCUAUUGCUGAGCGUAUAACAGUUGAGUUGAGGUUUCGACAAAAUUCAACAAAAAAAAAAGCAAUUGAAGAAAGAUUGAAUGGCUUAAUUAGCUAUGCUAUCCAUUGAAAAAGACAUGGUAGAAAAUUUUGAUUAUGUAAAGUUAAUUGAUACUUUUGCAUCAAAAAAUGCAAGAUGAGUGAUAUUUAAGUGAUGUUUUGAUACAUUUUAUAAAGUUGUUAUGUGAAUUACAUGUUGUUUGUUUCUUUUUUAUGUUACAAUUGUGACUUUGAAUUCAUAUAACUUUUUUUUAAUAAAAUUAUUGGAAAAAAAACUCAGAUAAAUAUAUACAAAGGGUAAAAAAGCCACAUUUUGUUAGUUCUCCUAGGGCCUCUAAAACAUUAGGACUGCCACUUAAGUGUGGGCACGGUUCGGUUUGAACCGGUUUUGGCCUCAAAUUAGAACCGAUCUGGUACUAUUAUCCGGUUUGGUUUGGUUUGGUUUUAAUAAAAAAAUUUCAAAAACUGUCUAAUUCGGUUUGAACCGAUUCUAGUCCGGUUCGGUUUUGAACCGGAUUAUAAAAAUUAUUAUUUUUAAUUAUUAUUUAAUACAAUUCUCAAUUGAAAUAUUAUUUUUUUACUUGAAAAUUAACAAAUUAUUCAAUUUCAUAUAAAAGAUAAAUAUUAAAGUUAAAAAAGAGAGAUAUUUUGAAAUUGAACUUGGAUAAAUAUUAGUUUUUUUUUAAAGUGAAAUUUAAAAUAUAGCAUUAAAUAUAAAUAUAUAUUGAAAUUAUAUAUUUUUUAAUUUGACCGGUUCGGUUCAGUCCAAUCCGAUUUUUGAAGACAUGGAAUCGAAUCCGAAACCGGUCCAAACCGGUUCGGUUCAAUUUUUGACUAGUUGUUGACUUUUUGGUCAACUCAGUCUUUUUCCGAUUUAAUUCGGUGCGAUUCGACUCGGAUUUUCUGUUCGCCGGUUUGAGUGCCCACCCUUACUGCCACUAUCGAAUGCAGAAGCCUUUUUUUCACAGCAAAGGUGCCAGAACCUCCGGCUAUUCUUGCUGUUCUGCCAGAAAUCCAGGCAUCUCAAUGGCUUGCUUUCGAUUGAAGAAAUCAUUUGCCUUGUUGAAAGUUAAACCAAACCCACCGAAUUCAGACCCAAAAAAAAAAAACCCACCGAAUUCAAAGCUAUAAUAUUAUUUUAUUCACUUUGCAAAAGCAUGCCCAUGCUUUAUGUAGGACAUGUUUUGUUUAUUGCCUCAACGAGUCAUGCUUUCGGUGCUGACUACUCUCUAGUCUCCAGGAUGUUUUCUGUUUUUGCUAAAAAGUCUCCCUCUCAAAAGAGGUGCCUCUAUUUGUAUUGGAGCUGUUGCUGUUUUGAUCAGAUUGAAUUGAACUUAUCUGUUUUUGCUCCAGUCUUCUUCCUUCUAUUUCUUCAACAUGCCUAAAUUCAAGUUUGUAUUUCAUUCUGUCUUACUACUUGUUGUACUGGAUAAAUAUUGAAGUCCUUACUCAAUUUAAGGCAAAAAAAGAAAAGAAAAAAAGAAUCUAUAUUGGGCCAGUUUUCCAUUGAAGUUGCAAUCCACUUUAUUUUUGUGUAAUUUGUUUGACAGUUUGGUUAGAUUUCAUGGAUACCAACGAUUGGAGGCAACUCUCGUCUGGUGAAUUCAUGACAAAGAACUAUCAAGAUACAUUUUAGGUUAUUGUACAUAUUACUAAACAAAAUUUGUGAUGGAGACGUCAAGUAAUGUAAUGCCAUUUAAAAUUAGAACCUAAUUUAUAUCGAUGCAUCAUUAAUAAACAAAAUUUAGAAGCUAAACUAACCUGAUUUCCCCUUACAUUAUUUGCUCUUCGUUCUCUUGUUGAAAACUCUCUAAACCUCUUAUAUCUCACUCUGGUCUCCAACUCCAGCCCCUGGUAACCUUUCUACUUCCCCAAUCUAUUGCUCAAGUUAAUACUACAAGUUGAACUUGCGGACAUGUUGGUUAGGCAAGUUGGUCAAGACAAUGUGUCCGCCUCAAGUUCGCAUCCCUUCCCCAUAAGUAGUUUAGAAUAUUGCUUAUAUAUAUAAGAAGAUAUAUUCCAAGUUCAUAUUUCUAUUCCAUUACUUCUAAAAAAAUAAAAAAAAUAAAAAAAUAAAAAAAUAAAAAAUAAAGGGAAACAGAAAAACAAGAAACUGCACUUUCAUUGAAGUUGCAACCCAAUUUUUUCGUCUUAAAUCUUUAGUACUGCUGGUUUGGUUUGGCAGAUUUGAUGGAUGCUGACAGGAUUGGAGGACCCAGUUUCUCCCAAGUUCACGGCAAAGAAUUGUCGUCAAGAAUCAAGAUGUAAGGGUCACUGUGUCAACAGAUUAUACAGAUACAUUUUAGGUUAUUGAUUAAUUACAUGUUAUUACGUUUAAGUGUUAUUGUUUUGUUUGAGCUCUCCUGAUAAUCAGUACUAGUAACAUUUGAUUAAAUGUAUUGCUUAUGCAGAAUGGAUGCAAUAAGGAGGUAUCCUCCCUUCUCCUGGGACGGAUUAGAUGAAAUCAGAACUGCUGUAAAGAUAGAGGACAAAAUUUAUGAUGUUGCCUUAAGCCAGGUAUAACCAAGGUUUCCUAACUAUUUUUCAUUGUACAUUUUGCUAACAGAGAAGAAUGAGAGAGAGAGAGAGAGAGAGAAAUCUACAAUAUUCAUAGAAAAUAAACAGAGGAAAAGAUUUCUGAAUUUCUCAGUAUAUUGAAUUGUUGUACAAGAGAAUUCAGCCCUGCCAAAAAUCAACCAUAAAAUUUUCAUUUAGCUAUUUGAAAUCAUUGAUUUUAUUUCAAGCACUAUGUUUUUCUAUCUAAUUUUUUCACAAUGAGAUGUCUAAAAUGUUUCCAGUUUGAGUAAUUUUUUGUUUUUAUUUGUUUACGAUAAUGAUCAUUGGAUUUAAAAUGGAUCGUUCGAAUCAUUGAAAUUUACAUGUGUAUUGUUUAUUUUUCAACCUCCUGCUAUUGUAGCUAAACGUGUAAUCUAAGUUCUGUGUGCAUCUAUUGUCCAGACGGAUUAUCUACGGACAAUUUCUCUAAAGAUGAUCAUGAUUGCGUCGAGGCCUGAGUCUCUUGGCCGAAUGCGACCAUCAAACCUGAAACGACGUCGCAUCCUUGCUAGAGAUUUGUAACAAGUUUUUUGACUUGGUCUUAUAUAAAAUGUAUAUAUCAAAUAAACUAUCACAGAAACUCAGCAGAAAAACGAAGUAACAAGAAGCAGUUCCUAGGCUAGUUGCAAAAUUCCUGAUUUAAUUUUCUGAAAUUACUCUAUACUUUAUGCGCUUGGUCAUCUUGAUGUUAUAAUUUUGUCAGUUUGUCCUAUAAAGAGCAGGUCCUAAUAAAUUAGCCAUUCUAAUCGAUUUGAAUAUGAGAUUGAUCCAUACUGUUUCUUUUCUUUUCUUUUUUCAGGGCAUCAUUCAAACUAGACUUAGAAUAGUUCAUCAUUUUUUGACUGAAGUAGAAAUUGUUUCGAUUAAAUUAGCCGUCAAGAUUCUCAAUGUUUCGUGGAUGAUCGGCCUUUUAUUCCAGUGUUUGCUUUAAAAAAUAUAAUGCUCAAGCAUGGCUUGAUUGGAUUCAACCUUGGUUCAUCUCAUACCCCCAAGACAAGAUAUUCAAGAGGAGCUCAUAACAAAAACAGAUGAUUUUCAUAAAUAUAUUAGUAACAGAGCAAACAACAAUAUAAAUAUAACAUCACACAUGCGAAGCUGAAAAUGAAUUCUGCAUCUACGAACAUCAGUUCAUGAAAAGAAAGAAUCCUCUGAAACAGAACCAUAAGCUAGUAGGAUGUAGAUAAAUGCAAAUGUGGGAUCUUUACCAUGGCAACAGAAUUAGAUAGAACUGUUUAAUUUGAUGGAGGAGGGAACAGGGAAGGAAUUGUUGGAAUUGUUGUUGGAAUGGUUGGGAUUGAAGGCAUCGUAGUCGGGAUAGUUGGCAAUGGAGUGGAAGGAAGUGGAGGAAGAGUGACCUUGGGAGCAUUGGGGAUGGUUGGCAAUGUUGGUUUUGGCAUAGAUGGGAUUUGUGUGCUUGGGAAAGAAGGCAAUGUGGGCUUUGGCAGUGCUGGGAUUAAAGGGGUGGUUGGCAAUGGUGGCAAUGCGGCUUUAGGCAGUGUUGGGAAGGAAGGCAGUGGAGGCAAUGUAGCCUUGGGAAUUGGAAGAGAUGGAAUGGUAGGCAGCGUCAAUGCCGGGGGUGGAGCUGCUGUGUCCAGAAGGUUCCGGGCCGCCAGGCUCACAUCAAGGCUUGAUAAACACAAUGCUGCUACCACCAUAGAAAAUAGUAGGAAACAAUGCUUGAAACCUGCCAUAUUGGUUGAUAUAUAGGAUCACACAGAGCAAGUUCUUCAAUAUAUGUGAGUAAUUGUUUCUGUUUCUUGUUUGAGUUGAAGGCAUAACAUGUCUUAUAGGUAUUUAUAGGGAGAAAGUAUAAACUAAGUUGUCAAUGUUUGAUGAAAUCUAGUUGGGGUUGUGUGGAGAAGUAGUGGUUAGCUCACCUUCGCAAAAACAUUAAUUCGAAACGUAUCUUUAUUUAAAACUAUCCACCAACCCCUUUGUGACAUUGUCCAACGUAAGCAGUCUAUUAUGUAGCAAUGUCAUUCAGAUUAGAAGUAGAUGGUAUUGGUACCCAACAUUUUCUUUUCUUCUAUAGCCUUGUCUUCUCUGAGAGUCAAAAGUCUAACCCCACGAUAUAUUUAUCAAGUAAUGGAUAUUUCCUUCAUAUUAUUAGAAAUAGAUGGUAGUGUUUCAAUGAUUUUUUUUCUAAUCAUCUAACUUAGGGUAGACUAGUGUAUCAACCCACAGCCACGAGCCCCCACUUAAAUCUUGGUUUGAUCCUGUGCGGAAUCGAACCCAUGACCUAUACAAGUGCAAGUUCGCCCUAACCACUGGGCUAAGCCAAGGAUGGAUGAGUCAGAAUUUUGUUAACUUAUAAGAAAUGAUUGUAUUUAAGUUCUUAUUUGUUUUGUGAAUGGCCAUAUGAAUUUGAUGGCCUGUUGACACAAGAUACAUCUCCUCAGCAUGGUUCCACAAGUAGCAGGGAGACAAAUGAUAUUCAUUCCUAUUAAUGAUAAAUUAAUAAGAAAUCAACUAAGAUACAUAUACUUGAUCCUAAAUUGUGUUAGCAUAUCAAACACAAGUUAUGGUUGUUGUAUGGGUUAGCUCUACUCACAACCAAAUCACUGAGGAAGAUGAAACCUCUUACGAAGCCCUGCAAAAAUAGGCCUGUCAAUAACCACCUUCAAUGCCCUCCGUAGCGCCACCAUCCCUUCUUUUCCAUCACCCAACCCUUGAAUCCACAACACAUUUUUACUCCUUCCACCCACUAUCACCAUCUCAGCCCUCACCAACCUCCCUUUCACAGAGCUCAGUGCCCUUGUCAUGUCCGAUAUCAGCCCCGGCCUGUCGCCACAGCUCAAUGUGGCCUUCACAAGCCCUUCUUGCUCUCCAUCACACUGUUCCAAACUCAACUUGUCAACCCCACCUGGUAAAACACAUUCAUCACUGUCACCGUGGCGACAUGCUGCUUCCACUUCUGCCACCGCCCUCUUCAGCUCCCUUACUUGCCGGACCGUCUCUGCAAGCACAGAUGCCUUGUCCAUCUGUGUCAAAGAAAUAUUUUAUUUGAGAGAAAUUGUGAAAUACAUGGCAUGUUAUAUUAUACUACAAAUGAAGCUGCGCACAUUCAAACAUAAUUCCAACGGUUUUUUAUUCACAAUCUAUGUUAGGUUGUCAAACUGUAAAUGAGACCGCACAUAUGUUUAAACAUAAUUCUUAACCGAUGGUUCUAAUUCACAAUCUGGUUGGCAACAGAGAGUUUUUCUUUUAUGCACAUGCAUGUUAAGAGUAGAUAAUUACUUUGAUCAAGUUUGGGAGGACGGUACGAAGAGUGGCAUAUUGACCAUUGAUUCGCAUCCUUCGUCUUCUCUCUGAGUCACUGUGUUUCUUGGCUGCAAUUACUUUGGUCUCUGCCUUUGAUUUUGGUUUAAAGAAGCUUUUGGAGUAGAUAGUAUUCACUGGGAAUACUCCUUGGCCUUUUGGGAAGCUGAUUUGCUUCGGAUAAUAACUUGGGAUGGACAGCAUAUCUUGCUCUAGCUAGCUAUAACCUGUCUAAAAUAAUCACACCAUUAGAAAACAGAAAGAAAAAAAAAUCUGAUAACAAAAAGAAUUAAAGAAAGAGAAAGGGAAAUAGAACAAAUUGGAAAAGAACAGAAGAGAGGGAUGCUACCUGUUGCAAUAGUAAAACCAUGAAAGAAUAACACUAAAAACAAUGGAGGGAAAGACAACGUUUGUGUUUUAUAUAGGAAAUGUUCUGCAACCAGUGCUUUCAAAUACCAGAAAACUGUAUAUUGAAGCAAAUAAAUGCUACGAUGGAAUAUAUUUGCAUUUAAAUGUGACAUUUUGAACCUAAUAAAUGACAUUUACUAUUAGGGUAAUUAUUGUGCGAUCCUGAAAUCUGGAUAUUGGGUGUGCUAUAAAUUUAAAAAUUGGGAUCAUAUAGAAUAAACCUAAAAAGGCAAAACAAUAUCAAUAAAGUACAGAAGAUGACUUAGGGUAUCAGUAUCACAUGAGUCACGAAUCACAUCUAUUACUCUCUCAUACUUGGUUCUUUUUUUUUCUUUUAAAUCAAUAUGAUCGAAUUCUUCCAGCAAAGUAGAUAUUUAUGUCACUAGACUAAAUAGUCAUUUGACAGUCGUUCGUUCUUACUAUCAAUUUUUCUCCUCUGUUUUUUUUUUAAAAAAAAUUUAUAAAUAUAAUACGUCAUUGCUAAUAAGGAGAAAUACUCUAGCCAAAUAGUGCUCUUUAUUUCUAUUAAUUAUUUCCUUUCCGAAUUUACUUAAGAAAUUGUUGGGGAGACAUUAUUGUACCGCUUUGUGUAUCAUGUCUCUAAUAGAGGUAAGACCUACUUGCAUUGGUUGUCUCUACCUCUGUUAGAGAAGUACAACAAUGUGGUCUCCCUAGCAUUACUCUUUAAAUACAAUUUUACCUGCUUUUAUCUCAGUGUCACUCCUCUCAAAACGCAUGUGCCAAGUAUUAAUUACACAAAAUAAUGGUUAUUGGUUUAACUUUUGAAAUAUAUAUAACUAUGAUUGAAAGUAGCAACAAAUAUUGCAUGCUCUCAAAAAUUAAAAAUAAUAAAAAGGACAAUUUGGUUUCUUCAUAUUACCAUUUGCAUUUUUACACAACUCAAUUAAUGAAUAUGUUGCUUCUUCCUUCUCCCUACUAGCUUCCCCCCAACCAAAAAGCCAGACCCCUUCACAUCAUCAUAUCAAUCCAAAAACAAAGCAAAAUCCAAGUUGACUGUAACUUAUGACUAUAAAAAAAGGUGCAAAUUCCAAUUGUCCAAAGUAUGCAUGGCAUCAGUGCUUAAUAUAAACACUUCUCAUACAUAAAUCAUGGCCUGUAAUGGUAGAGCCCUGAGGGCACAAUAUGGUAGCCAUAGCUGCCAUCAACCUGACAUUGUUAACUCCAUUGCUAAUAUUUUUCAUGGACACCAUCUCAUAUUCAGAAUUAUGUAAACAGGCAACAACUAAAAUAACUAUAUCAUACUCUGUUUUAAUACUUUGCAGCACAAUGCAAAAGCAUCAAAACAUUCAUAUUAUACUCUAGAAGCCUAUCAGUGGUGGCCCUGUGAGUUGCUUGACUUGCUUUCUCUAAUUGUUCUUUGAUAGCACCAUGAGAACUACCUGAAGGACCAGCAUUUUUCCACAUGAGUUUUCUCCUAUAUAACAUCCUCUAUACAUAUAACUUACAGCAUUCUGCUAUACAGCAAAAUUCAACCUACAAUUAUCAUUAUCUUUCCCUUACUGCCUUCAACUAUUGACCAUCAGCUUUAGGUCUUUCAUCUCACACCACUAAGGGCCUAUGGAUAAUAUAUGCGAAAGAGAGGAACAGUAAGAGCCUAAAGAUAUAUCCAAUGUAUCUUAAACAAUAUACUCAUAAGGAUGACAGAGAAGGCCUGCAAUAAGAGGAUGUAUUAACUUACACAAUAGCUAAAUAAGAAAGGAUACGAAGUAAGUACAUUCAAGAUUGUUAAUAUAUGAGGAAAAAGGAUAGUAACUCUUACUAAAACUCCAUUUCAUUAUUUAUCACAUUGCAUCUCUUACCACAAUAUGCUACACAAUGGCUGCAUCCAUUCAUCUUUUUGUGGCAGAGGUGAGAGGCACUUCUUCACUUUUUGAGCUGGGGUAACUUCCGUAUUGUUACUUGGUUGUCAACUCAUUUUAAAAUUGGUAUAGUCAAGAUUAACAAGCUCCCGACGAACCAAAUGGAAACAACUAACAGUAAGGAUUUAAGUUGAAUAAUUUAGUGUGUAAAGCAAUAACUCGUACAGGUCCCAAGCAAAACAGAACAUAAAAACCUUGAUUGCCAAUUUACCAUUCACUGCAAGCAUUGUUCAAUCAAAGUGGGGUGAACCAUUACAAGAAAGAAACUACCAUCAACUAUCAGGUCAUUGUGCUUCAAAAUCAGUCAUCCUAAUCUAUUUAUCCACAAAAUUAAGCAGACUUAGAACUGAAGCAAAUCCUGCAAGAGAUACCAGAACAUCUGCUUAACUUGUCAUUUUAUAAGAUAAAGUUGGUUAAUAUUACCUUAGCUAAACUAUUACCUAAUUUCUACUAUGAGAUCAAAGCACCUGGUUGAUGAGUCUACCGUGUAAUCCAGUCUACUUUCAACUGUGAGCCAAGCCAAUUACUCAAAAGCCAUGCUCCUACUUGCUAAACCUUCAAAAGUUAACCCAUAUAAAAUUUUGGAACUUCCAUCACUACCCUGAAAUCUCUUACCUUUCCAUUCCUUUCAAACCGGACUAUCCCCUAUACCAACAUAGAUAUCAUCUUCUCCUUCAAAAAACUCCAGCCCAUCCAUUCCACUCCCACUUCCACUACCUCCCUUAUCAAUUCCAUUUCCAUCUUCAACACUCGUGUCCGCUCCUUCCACCCUCUCAUCACCCAUCAACUCAACCCUCCUGCUUCUCAUCUCAUUUCCCAUUAUCUUCUUCGUAUUCCUUGCCACGGACUUCGAUUUGACGCUCUUCAGACGCCUUGCUAGAGUCUUCACCCUCUUCACUGGUGUCCUCCCUUCACUCCUCAACUCUGCUCUUCCACUCCCACCUAUAUCAGUUCCCACAACUCCUUCACUCCCAAUCUUUACCUUUUCUUCAUGCAUUCCCUCAAAACCCACAUUACCAUCCAACAAAUCAUCCUCAAACUCAUCAUCAGUACCAUCACCAUCAUCAUCAUCAGAGAUGACCACAACAUCCUUGUCUUUAUUGCCAGUUACCUCUGUCUCCAUCUGCUUCUUUGGGUCCACGUACUCCAUUUGAAAAUACCCAAAACAGAAAUUGUACUGCUCCUUCCCCUGCACUAUAAUAUCCGGUGAUGGCGCCUUUAUUGCCACUCCAUGGAACGCUUUCCUGCAAUUCUGGCAUCUCAAGCAACAAUCCUCAUACACCUUCCCGUACUCGAACAUGUAAUAGCAGUACGGACAAACUGUCCAAAAUGUCUCUUCCACAUUACACCCCUUACCAUUUUCCCCCACAUUUUUUUCCUUCUGCUCUCUCUGUUUUGGGGUUUCUUGCCCAUUUUCAGACCCAUUUGCGAAAUGGGUUUUCUUGUCUUGGUCCGAUAGAAAGGACCAAGCUUUCUGGACGAGCUCAAAGGCCUCCUGAGCGAAAGCGAACCCGUUCUUGCUGGGUUCCAAGAGGGUCUUGAGUUUCUCGAACUGGGUCCGGACGAGUGUCGGGUUUUCGGAGCCGGGUGGCGGUAUUUGGAGAAUGGAGCACCAGUCAGUUGGGUUUUGGUGAUCGGCGGCGAGGAGUACGUCAGCUACGGCGAGGAUUCGGUCGGCCCCGGAGUUGUGCGGGUCGGACUCUCGAGCUUUGAGAGCGAAUUUGCGGCAAAAAGAGAAAUCUCGGUGGCUGAGAUAGUGGGCUGAGAGGGUGAGAAGUUUUUGGGCUUUGGGCGAGCAGCUGCUGCUGCGUUUUGCAUGAACCAUGUUUGUUCUUUGUUGAUCAAUUUUUUGUGUUUUUUUUUCCUCAGAAUGCUGUGUUUUUGUGGGAAGAAGAGUGAUUUUUGUGAGGGAAGAAGAGGAGGUUUAAAGAUGGGGAAUUCAGUGGACGAAAAGGGGCAUGAGCUUCGGAGGAAACUUUACUUGUUUGUGCCGGGACUUGUGAGGGUAUUUUGGUCCUUUAGGAGGAAUAUUAUAUGCAUUCCAGGUGGGUUCCUCCAAGGAAAGAGACGUGGCUGUUGCUUGGGGCGCAAUCUUCCCCUGCUUCAGAGCACAGUGGUGUAGUCUGUGGGUUUUAAUGCACAGUAGGAGAAUACAGAGAUCAGAUGUACGGAGGGAGGACAGGCAGAGGCUCUCAAAAUUCUAUUGGUGCUCCUUUUUUGAUUUCUCCAUCCUUUGACUGCAUAUGAUAUGAGCCUAGUCCAUCUCCUUCAUUUACAUAUAACUUCUUUUGUAUUACAUAAAUCAUUAUUGUUAUAUAUAGUAAAUAAAGAAGUUUCUUUUUAAGGAGUAAAGAAGUUUUGUUGCACCAAAAAAGUAGUACUUCUUUGUAUGCUGGGUAAUAGUAGAGUCAGGAAAGUUAUUGUAAUUUGUAUGCUAUGUUAAGUUUAAAGCCAAGGUUUGAGUCAAUAAUAGCUAAAUUAUAUCAUAUUUUAUUAAGAGAAAAAAAUUUCUGUCAAAAUCUCUAGGUGAGAGAGAGCAGGAUUUGUUAUGGCCUAAAAUCUAUUCAUUAAAAAAAUAAAAAAUAAAAACCCCCAACUUUUGUGUUUACUUCAAAAUCUAUGACUUUUUAAGACACCUAAACUUUUGUAGAGUUCUCAAUGGUAAUACUCCCAUAUGUUCAUUAAAUAUGAAUUUAAAGUCAUAAAAUCUUGUAACAGAAAAAAGUCUAUUAAAAUCUGAAUUGAGUACAGGCAUACUCCUUUUAGCAACACCCUAAUUUCAGUGGCUUACCUCUUUCCUGUAAGGAGACAUCCCUAUUUUCGUGCAAAACGUUUGAGACAUAUACAAAAUUAAUUCAUCAAGUCAAUAUGGUCAAAUUCAAUGAACAAGGGCAUUUACUUGUAUCAGAAACCUCUGCUCCCCUUCUAGAUUAGACUAUUGCUUGUAUUAAAAAAAAUUUAAUUCAUAAAAAAAUUAAAAGAAACAUUUAUGCACAUGCCAAACUGUGAUUGGCAGCAUAAGGUGUUCCUACUCCCAUAAAAUGAGGCAAGAAUUUCCUGACUUGGAAUUGCACUCCCAUCUACUUGCCUCAAUGUCAUGGAGGUGAUUACUUUUUUUUUGGCAGUAUCAUGCUGCCAAUUAGCCUAGCGACCUCAGCUCUGAGCCACCCUAACUACUCUCCCAAUUCAGCCGUCAUGGGAGCCAUGCAGUUAUACUCCCAUUUCAGCAGAAGGAAGCAAUUCUCCCCCACUACCUUUUUUUUUUUUGGUUCAGAAUUCUUCCCCAUUGCUGAAAGUCACAAUUUUUGUAACGCCACGCCACCAUGGCUUAAUGCAGUUGGUAUAGAAUACGAGGCAACUAGAUGAUCAUACACGCCACAACAUAGAUCAACAAUCUAGGGCUCUUCCCAAGCUUUCUUUCCUGUUUAUUUUCCCAACAAAUCUGCAAGAAUUUAGUUCCUGUACUCCAUCUCCCAAGACAGAGGGCAAAGCUACAAAAAGAAAGUGUACUAAAUUUGUCACUGCAGCACUAAAAUUCCGCAAGAAGCAACACUUUCGUCAGCAUGUCUUUCUGCUGCUUCAUUUCCUACUAUAUUUCUACAAAAAAAAUAUUUUCUGGCCGAAGAGGAAAAAGUACAAACUCUUCUACAGAAAAGAAUGAUCUGUGUGCGUUGGUUUACCACCAAUGAAAAUAGCCUUACUCCUUAUGCCAAGCUCUAUCUUAAAUCACUGCUGAUGGCUAAGCUCACCUUGCAUCUUUCUUCUAAACCCCAGCACCAAGUAUGUAUAUGUCACAGUUGUAGCUACUACAGAUACCCCAACGUAGACGCAUACUGUUGUAGUACAAACAUAAAUGUACCUGGAGAGAAUAUGCAAACCAUAAAUUCCAAAGUGAGUGAAGUUAAUAUGAGCUGUGGACUGCCUUUAGCUAUUAAAAUGUCUUUCGACAACGGAUGCAAGAGAAAAUAAUAUCUACUUUAGGUGUAAACAGAAGCUUGAAAUCAGUUUUAUCUUAUAUAAUUUUCACCUAUUACGAUUACAAUUUAGGGAUUAAUUAUUCAUUUAUCUCUGUUUAUGAUAACUUUGUUCUGAUCAUUAGAGUUAAUUACUAUGUUAGUAUAUUUUAUUAUUUGGAAUGCAUAUAAAAGUAAGUCUUAUUGUAACAUAGUUUCAUACUUCUAGAUUGACUGAUUGUAGUUUACCCAAAUUUUCUCCUGCCCCUCUUCGCUUCUUCAACCUCUACAACUGGUUCUCUCUUUUCUACUCUCCAGUCUUUUUAUUUCUCACCAUGUCCUAAAUUCUUUGUCCUACAUCUUUCCAAGGAGUUCCAUAGUACAAUAAAUAGAUUAUCACAGAAGAUUUCUAAAACAAUCACUUAAGACUCCCUCACUCUAGAGGUAACAUCAACUAAUACAAGCCCUUAUGUCAGUGAGACUUACUUGGGAGAAAAGACGCUCCAAACAAAGAGAUGGUUCCUCAUUAACAGCAAUAUGAUGGUGUACGCUGUCAACAAAAUGGAGUUCAACCCCAGUGGAACCAGACAAGGAAAGCCAAGCAUUAUUUUGAGGAGUUGUGUGGAAUCUGCACUGAAGGGAGAUGGGAGAUAGCUUGUCUCCUUCACAGAGAUAUACAUCACCAUGCUAAGGAUAAAUAACAUUGGGGAGGCGUAGGUGAUCAUGAACAUUAAGAUGCCAGAAAGUACCGUCGAGUGACUUGAGAUGCCCUGGCAACGAGUAAACAAUCAGAAACAAACAGAAACUUUUCAAAUCUCAAAAUUUCUGCAAUCUGUCCCCAAAAUAAUGUUUUUCUUUUCUAUAUAAACUAUGCCAGGGUAAAGAGGAUGUACAAUAAAAGCUCCGGCAACAUCAAUAGUAGCUAGAGAAUUGCUGUUCCCCAGAGCAAAAUGGCCAGCCAUUCCCAAAAAGUAAAAUGCAGCAACCUAAAAGAACAAAUGCAAAAUGCAGUAUUAGCACCUGCAAUAAAUGAGGCUUAGGGAGUAAAUAAAAUGGGGUAAUGUUUUAUUGCCAGAUGUCUAUCAUCUCAUGUUGCCAAAUAUCUAAUGUGCUAUGUUGCCAGAUAAGUGGCUUGUUAAUAACAUGCCAGGCUGUCUGGCAAGAGAACAUUUUCCAAACAAAUUAACACUGUUCAUGCAGCACAUCACACACACAAUGCUUUCUUUUUCGAAAUGAUAUUCUGAAUCUCUUUACAAUAUGAUACUCAAAACGAAGUUGUCUCGUAGAAACAAAAAGUUACCCUUCUAUUUUCCCUCUAUAUUCUUCACAUAACAUAUUAAAAAGAAAAAAAAUACAACUUUCUGUACGUAUGUUCUUUAUCUUUCUCCAACCAAACAAGGGGCAAAUCAAACCUCAAGAGACUUGAAGCCUUUCAAAUUUUCAUACUUCUCAAUUUAAGAACGGUACGACAUAAUUGCUUUUAUUGACUGGACCAGUCUAAGAUUAACAUGACUUUGACACACAAGAAUGAAAACAAUAUUAACUCAAAACAAACUAAAAUUGAAACUGACCUCAACCCACGGCUUAUGAUGCAGAGCACUGUAAGAAAAAUACAACAUGCUGGCGAAAAUUUGCACAAGUAGCAAUAGUAUAGGCAUUGAGUUAAUUGUUUGUUGAAGCAACAGUUGCAGAAUACACCAGCAGGAGAUGUAUGUCCACCCAAUUAUAUAUAGAGAAUCUCUUAAUUUUGCCAUAAGCGACUUAUUUUGAACUUCAUUGGGAGCAGAAGUUGACAUGUACAAAUCCUGAUUCGAGCACAUCUCAGAUAUUGAAAAAGAUACAAGCCACGGUAAGGCUACAACAGUUCCAAAUGUGGAAGCACCCAGAGUUGCAUAAAUUAUUUGUACCAAUGUAGUCGUGCUGUAACUGGAUGACACAAACAUACCAUCCUGAUGCUUAGUGACGUGUUGCAAAACCAACAAUCCAGACAUAAGAAAGCUAAAUCCAAUCACCAGAACAAACUUUUUGUUGGACCCAAGUAGCAAAAGAACAUAUAAGCUUAAGGUCAUCAGUAGAAGGCAUGAGACGAGCUGAAUUGAUUUUAUAUUAUCAGUCCCAGCCUGCUCAAGCCACUUAGAAAUGUCAGGAAGAUUUGUCCAAUUCACACCUCCCUGGUGCCAGCCUCUCAAUAUCCUUCCAGAAACAAGAACCACAAAGAUGGAACUCAAUCGAAAACAACUUAUUUUGUUUUGUUCCUUGGAUAAAGUAUGGAGACCUUGAGCUCCUCCACAUGGAGGACAUUGUAUUGCUUUACGCAAUAAUAACAAAUUCAAUGUGGAAGCCACAAAAUGCCAAAUGUAUUGCUCUUCCUCUACCAUAGAACUUGAUACCAUACUUACAAUGAGGAUCAAUAUAACGCCUAAUACAAAAGUCUCAUCUAAAUACCAGGUCUGCGUGGCGCUCUCUAAGUCAAAGAGGUACUUCUCUCUGAUGUAGACUUCUUUGCACAUAUUAAAUAGAAGGCUUAAUAAUAUCAGACAAGACAUGAGCAUAGCAGCAAUUCCGAGAGUAAGUAGGCUGACAGGUUUCUAGAAAAUAAAAUAAUUGUCAGUGGACAAAAGUUACACGAAAGAAACUAAGAUUUACAUAAUGAAACAGUCUAAGACUCUCUCCAUCAGAAACAAUCACCAUCUCAGUUCAUCUUUACAAGGAAGAAGAGAAUAUACAUACAUCAGUUGCGCUGCGUGAUAACCACUCACUUGCAGUUCUCAGAAACUCAUAGUAUGCUGUAACAGCGCUGUUGUAGUCUUCCUUACUUUUAGACCUAGUUACAUAAUUUACACAUAAAGACUGGCAUUAGAGGUUUUCCUUAUUGAAUCUGGUGUCAUGAUUUCAAUAACAGACAGUGUCAUGUAUCCACCUGGAGAAUUCCUUUGACAUCCAGGAAUUUUGGAGAAGUGCAGCAUUCGUAUAUAGGCAACAAAACAUCUUUCCCAUGCUCCCAGAGCAUUUGGUUAUCUUGGACUCUUGAUCAUCACUGAAGCCAUCACAUAGGUAAUUUCGACAUGAUAAACCAGGCAUUUGUGCUUGCAAUAAUCUAAGCAAUUGCCAGGAAUUUAACUCCAGUGCCUUCAGUUGUUGGUCAUCUUUACUCAUCAAAGACAAGGAAACAACAUCAGAAAUUACACACAUUCAGUAGUACAUGGGCAGGCAGUUGAUCUUGACAAGAUCUAAGGCUAAGGAAAGUCACAGCAGUCAGCAACAUUCAGUGCGAGUUAUUAAUUUAUCUACUUAUCAAAACUCAUAGGUUAAAAAACAACUAGGUAAUUAAUAUUUACCGAUGAGACUAAUUAAUCUGACAGGAGAGGAUAGAUUUGUGGCUCAAAGUUCCACUUGUUUCAAGUAUCAUUUUUUUGUAUUGUCAGUUAUUCAUUUCUUAUGGCUGUCUUACAGAAAGGGCUUUAGCCUAUGUCUAACACCUUACUCCCUCCAUACAUCCCUUUAUAAUUGUAUGGUAAAUGUCAUUACAAGAAAUUAAGCUGAUUUAGUGUGCAUCAUCAGUCAAAGAUUGACAUCCAAAUGUCAUUUAGCAUAGAGAGACAACAUUAGCUCAAUUUAAAUAGCAUCCCUGAAGAAAAUCACACCACCUAUUUUCAAUGGAGACAAAUAGGUCAAUGGAUACCUCAAUGGGAUACAGUACCAUUGUGGUUGAUCCUCAAAAUUUUGUAAAGAAAUAUUUCAAGUUUAUUGUGUACACAUGCUUAACUUAUCCACAUAUCAUUCUUUCAACCCCUUGUACAACCAACCUAGAUAUACCAAGGUCCCACAUAUAAUCACACCAGCACAUAGAUAUAAUAAUUCACAGAGACACCCACACCCACGCACAUAUGCAUAGAUACAAAUCUAUAUAAAACUUAUAACAAGGGAUCCCAUUUGAUAAGAACCAAAAGGGCAUGUGGGGCCAAACUAACCAGAAACCAUUUAAUCAUCUAACUAUAACCAUAUACAAAGACGAACACAGUAUUCCCCCAUAAACACUGAAAUUUUUUAUGUUUUGCAUGAAUGACUUUUAAACAGGGAUCUAAGAAUUAGACAGUUUGGAUAAUUGGACCACAUUGAGGGGCGUCCUCAACAAUGCGAGAGAGAGAGAGAGAGAGAGAGAGAGAGAGAGAGAGAGAGAGAGAGAGAGAGGGAAGGAGGGAAGGAGCUAACCAGCCAAAUACCCAAAAAUUUCUGCAAUUAGGACACCAACAUUGUUUUUUGGAAUUGGAACGCCAAAUAGAAGAGCUAAUGUUGGUGCAAUGUCGACCUGAACCACAACAAUUGCACGUGAUAAAUGACAUUGCAUUUGCAGGUAAGUGAUGAAGAGGAAAUAUUUUAGUCUUAAUCUUGGUGCGAAAUUCUCUAGUCCAGCAAGUUAAAGUAUGCCUUUGUUGCGAUUUAAUGGAAACUAGGAAUCCCAUUCAAUGUAAAUAAUCAUGGAACAUUAUAACCAUACAAUUCUAUAUCUUAAUUACCUGAUAAAUGAUGUUAUGGGUGGACGACGAAUAAUCAGAGAUGUCAUUGUUCAGGCCAAUAAAAAGGGCUAAGGAGUCAGUUUCUUCAUAUGAGGACCCUCCAUGAUUACCACUCUCAGUCAUGCCAUGGUCACUUACUACGACCUAGAUAAGAAAUUCAUGAUAGAGACAGAUAUGAGUAUUAUUUCAAAUUUUUGAAUGACUACUGACAGAACAGAAAAAUAAAUAAAUACAUAAAACACUUUACAAACCUCACAGAAAGAGAGACAAUAAUUAUAAGGAUAUAGCUGUUUAGAUCCACUAAUAUAAAGAGAGUAGUGAAAACUGGCAUGGAAUGUGAACUACGCAUUGAGCAUACAUGUAUUUAUGUGCAACAGUUUUACACAUUAACAGCUGCUUUACAUGAUACUACCAGUGCCAUAAAAUGUUAUCUGAAAAGACAAAACAUUGUUUAGAUAGAAAUGCACUCUCUAUUGCUUAAAGGCCUUCUAGAAAAGCAUGUUUCCUUUGGAUACACUUAUGCCUCAAAUUCAGAACCCCUACAGCUUUAGCCCUGCAUAUUAUAGUUAGUCUUCCAUUAUUUGUUUCUUUACGCAUUUUUCAGAAUCGAGUGGGUAAAAUGCUGGUCAGUUAUUGCUCCCCAGAUGAAAUUCCAUGAUCAACAGAAGUGAAUUCAUGAGACAUAAGUAAGAAUCUACAGUCAAUGAGAAGAACCAGAUAAGAGAACGACGAACCAAGAGUGUCCGUCCUUGAUCAUUUUUUUGAUUUAGUAUACUAUUCAUAUGAAUCAUCUUAACCACGUCAUCCAUCUCUGAAAGUUUUGGAGCCAUCAAGGCACUGAAAUAAUAAAAAACAUGUCCACUUAAUCCUCAAGAAAUAAGCUUGUUGAAUCAAUCAAAAGAGGUUUAACAUAAAUGGGAAAAAGGACCACCUGUUGCGCCCACCAAUAUGUCCCACAUGAUCUAAGCCCAGAUAAUGUAGAAUCUGACAUGCAGUUUCAGUUAAAAGUGAAAAACAGAGCAAUGCCUCCAAGCAGAAACUAAAUUCAUCAUUCAAGAUUUGAUUAUGUCAUUUUAAAACAACAGAAUACAAAGUACAUGAUACUUUGAAUUUUCCAAAGAAUGAUUUUGACAAUUAAUCUGAUGAAUAUAUAUUCAAAGUAGAUUUUAUUUUUUUUUCCCCCAUAAUAAUGAAACUAUUGCUAUUAAACACAGUGAAAAAUUGGAACUACCCUGUAAAACCAGCUUGAAAGUAAAAAUUAUUAAAAUGCUAGUCCAUUUAACAAACUGGCAAAGUAAGAGUACAAAUAUUCUUUACAACAAUUAUCGGCAGCAGUGUUGCUAAUAAGGUAUACUAGGAGCCCUGGACAAUCCAAUAUUAUCUAGUAAGUUAGUAACUGAGACUAACCAGAAAAUCCCAGUCAUCUUUGUUAAGCUCAUGACCCAGAUGUCGAGAAACAUUUUGAUCCACUUGUACAGUAUCUUUAACCUUCAGCAAGAAAGAAUGCAUGUUGCAAGUCAGCAUAUAUUACAACCUCCACAAUAAACCCAGAUACAAAAUUACCAAUUUGACUUCUACAAGAAUAGAGUAACAUCAAACAUAAGAUUACUAAUCAAUCUGAAAAGUGAAAAAUUGCAUGAAAACUGGCCAACCAAAAAUGGCAGUGGCCUUAACACAUCAGGGUAACACAGCCAAGCCUAUAAAAACAGGAAAUCUUAAGACGAGCAUUCACUCCAUUAGCAUCCAGACACUUCAAAAGUGAAGAUGUAGAAGCUUAAUCGUCAUAUGCAAGCUUUGACAUGUAACAUGCUGAUGAUGUAAAAAGAGACUUACGAAGAAACUGCUGACUCCAUCAUGCCUAAUAAAUAAUCCUGGAAACAACUUAAGCCAUGUUUCAUCACCAAGCAUCACCAUUUUCCAACCAAUCUUGAAAAACUGGUCUGUGAGGCAAAGAUGUAAACAAGUAUCAUGAAAUUCUGGACAGUCUUCAAAACAUUUGACAUAGUGAAUGAAUUUAACAUUAAAGUAUAAAUUAUCAACUAACCGAGAAGAUUGUCAUCUAACAUAGCUUGUGUGUUAAAAUUCAAAGCCACAUCCAGGAAUCCCCCUAUUGCUCCAGAAACCAUAGCCUGCAAUCCUUUACCAAGGGGUGAUGAAAAAGCAGACCUCUACAAGAAUUAUUGUCUACAUAUAAAAAUAUUGUGAUGGAGACAACCUUCAAACGAGGCAUUGUAACAGUUGGAGGUGCAGCCUUUGCAUGAUACCCAAUUGCCAUUCCAUUAGCAAGCAGUGAUUGAGUAUAUGGCAUAGCUUCCAUUAAUGCCUUGCUUGGAGGCUUACCAUCCUUGCCAAGCACAAGUUCUGCUGGAAGACCAUCAAUCACCUAAACUGGCAUGAUUGUAAAGGACAAACCAAAUCUUAUCCUCUAGAUAACAUCUUUAUCGACUAACACAUCAAAAAAACCGCACAGAUGUUGACAGACACAAACUAAAUAUACCAUUAGUAUUAGCCGGUCAAAUGCAGGGGGCAUUCCAGAUAGUUCCUGCAUUGCCAAUAGAACAAGGAAUUAUGUAUGUAUGCAUGUGUACAUACACAAAUGCAAAAACCCUGAUAUUGCAACAUUUAAAGCCCAAACAUACUAUCUGGAAAAGGAUUGCCCUGGAAGUCAUUAAAUUCCACAAAAAUUUUGUUGCCACAAAAAUUAAAUUCCACAAAUUACAAAUACCAAAAACCCACCAGAGCAAGUAUGCAUUUAGAGCUAGAAGACUGUCAAACUUCACAAAACUGAUGAGGGAAACAAGUACCUUAUACAGUGACCCGAGGUGAUGAGGAUGCAGGUCUCUCUCGGUCUCGUUUUGAAUCGAAUUGCACUUGGGUGCUUGAAAACUCUCCGGACCACUGCCAUUGUCAGUGAAAUGAACCAACUCAGACAAAAAAAAAAAAAGUGCUUUGUUUUCUUUUGGUUGUUGAUGUUUCAAUUUCUAUGAUCCUUGGUAUUAUUCUAAGCAACCAGAGUACCUGUGUCCAGGUAGGGUUGGUUUGACAGGGAAGAAGCCGAAGACGAAGAUGGAGAGGCCAACCAUUUGAAUCGCAACUCCAGCUAUGGUGAAGAGCGUCAGCUUCGAGCACGUUAGCAGCCAUGGCAUUUUACGAACCCUAAAUCUCUAUGCUGAAUUGGAACUUCGAAUGCUUCCCCGAGGAUCAUAUAACGAGAAAUUAUCAAAGGGAGCAAUCAAUUAUGAUACGAUCGAAACAAAUCCUAAAAUUUUGGAUCAAAUUGAAGAACAAAUUGAAAGUGGAACCUGAGACACUCUGACGUUAUAAGUUUUUAUUUUAAUUUUUUAAAAAAAAAGAUUAGUGUGCUAACUUGACCUCCAAUUACAAAAAAAAUUAAAUUUUAAUUUUAAAAUAAGAAAUGGAAUUAUACCACUAAUCACGUACCAAAAAAUAAUAAUAAACUUUCUUCACUUUUUUUUUUUUAGUCUAAGCGAUAGUCAAAAUAAUAAUAAACUUUUUUCUUAUAUAUCACUAAUCACGUACCAAAAUAUAAUAAUAAACUUUCUUCAUAAUAAAAGGUAGUCUAAAUUACAGGGAUGGGGUUUCUCAUACACAUGCACACAACUAAGAUGUCAUAGGAGUUCGAAAUUGAGACUUUUUAUAUGCAAGUCAAGGCCAUUUUCCGCAAUUUUAAUUAAAGGCAUUUCACCAACAACAACAAAAUUGUUAUACUAUUGAACACUAGGUAGGUACACUUACAAUAUUACAUAACUUAUUCUAAUUGUCUAGCCAUGUAUAUUAUGAUUUAGGGUUAAAUACUUUUUUGGUCAUUGGGUUUUACUUGAAAAUUCAAUUUGGUAACUGAGAAAAAAGUUUAGCCAAAUUGAUCACUGUGUUUUUUAGAGUUUACAAUUUAUAGACAUUUAUUUAUUUUCCGUUAAGUGCAAUGUUUUUAUUAUCAAAUUGAAGUUACAUGAAGGGGUUGGCAUGGGUCUCUUUGGCGAUUCCAAUUGUUGAGAAAUUUAGAGAAAUUUUUUCAAGAAAAUGGAACUUAAAUAGAGACAAAAGAGUGCAUAAUUUUACCAUGGAGGAAAAGAACAAUGGCAAGAAAAUGGGGCCAAUGAAAGAUGGAGAAGAAGAUGGUAGGCAGGUUGAUGAGGAUGGUGUUAAAGAGGAUAUUGGAUUGAAAUUGAUGGUGACAAGAAUAGAUUGUAAAUUUUUUCAAAGUAACAUUUGGGUGGUGCUUCUGAACAACUUUGGACAGCUAGUAGAGUCACAUGACUCAUCUAGGACUUUAAUGAGCCAUAGGACUAUGUUAUAUGUCCCAAGUGUUUAGAACACCAACCCAAGCGCUGCAGUGAAAAAAAAUAUACAAAGAAUACAACCAAAAGAGCAUAUGCUCGUCACCGUCAACUUCACUCUAAUAUUCUCUCUAACACCGUUGACAGGUUUUAUCGCCAAGCCCAUAAAACAAGACCACGUAGAUAAAUGAAUGAUACAUGUUGCACUGACCUAGUCGCACCGACUCAUCCGAAUAGGCUAGUAAGGACAAAUUAGUCUUACACCGGUCCGACCUAUUGCCAUGUUAUGGGGCUUAUCCUAAUAGUCUAUUUGGAGGGUCGACUCGUUCUUCUACUCAUCCAUUCAUGGGAUCACCCAACUCCCACACUUGUAAACCAUUUUUGCCCCCAAUGUUCCUCUCGCUCAAAUGUCGCAUGGGAAAGGACCGUGGUCGACUGACGCCUCGCCACAUAUUAUCUUCCUAAUUACACUAGUCUACACAUGUGUCGACUUAUGGGUGGAGAAGACAUUUACUGCACCUAUAAUCAAUUCCAUGUGUCAUCCAACCAUUAGCCCUCUGAUAACUGGUAUAGUAACCAGUGCCUAGAGCCACCCUCUCACCCUAGUAUGAGGGUGGCUGAAGAUCUUCUUGUGCUGGAUUUAAGGAGAUAUGCAUUCUCUUCACCUCCUAUAAAUACCCAUCAUCUACAACCAUACAAAGGUAAUAGCUUUUUCCCCAUCCAGAAACACUACUCAUUCACUUUCCUAAAUAUUAGUUCGUUCUACUUCUAUCUUUGGCAUCGGAGAAGGUUUGGCUGGUGCCACACCCGUGCCUCUUUGAUAACUUGUUCUUAACGUUGUGCAGAUCACUUGGGUAAUCAAAGAAGGCCCAUUUGAGCAGAGUUAGUCUUAUUCACAUCCGAUCUGGGCCCAGGCCAAGAUCCUAGUUGGCUAAUUGAUUUCGUAUCAGUCAACAUUUGGCACCACCAGUGGGAAUUUGCAAACAAAAGUCUCAUUCUCUUAUUGAAGUCCAACACGAACAAACCAAACCAUGCUGAACCAAAGCUUGAAAAAUAAGGCCCUCUUAGGCUCUACCAAGAAAAACUUCUAGAGACAGAAGAAGAAGAGGCAACAAAUAGAUCGUCUCGACAACUUGGAAAACAAAAUGAGCCGAAUCCUGAAUGGCGUGAAGAAUGUCCAUAGCUUCAGCAACAUCAUCCGCUUACAGAAUGAGGUAAAUCAAGAAGACUUGGUAAAUAGGGUAAAUUUGCAGCGUGAGGCCAACCAAGAACAAAAUGGCGAUCUUUGUGCCGACCCCAAAUGGAGGGUAAUGUAGACGGACACUAAGGCUUCAUUAGGAUCAACUGCAGUAUAGGCACCUAAGUGAAGAGUGUAAAUAAAAGACCACCGCUGAGACGAACGGAGCAGAGGAUGGUGUUGAUGGCAUAACCUUCAUGCUCAAGGACCUGGUCACUGGCAAGCUGAAGAGCGUGUGGGAUGAGCUUAGCCAAGUGGAGAAAUCAAAUAUGCCUAGGGGGCCAUAUUUCAAGGAGGAAGAAAUUCCACUACCCAACACCCAUGAUUUACAGGAUGCCAGUAGACUUGAAGGCCCAAAAUAUUCCAUUAUAUGAUAGGAUGACCGACCCCUAUGACCAUCUGGACAAUUUUCGUUACACAAUGGAAGGACGCGAAGUAAAUUAGGCAACUAAGUAUCGCAUAUUCCCAACCACGCUCAAAGACCAUGCUAUGAUCUCAUGCAAACGGCUUGCUCUUGAAUCAAUUGGUUCUUUCGUCGAACUUAGAAGGUUUUCUUGAAGCGAUACAUGAUAAUCUUUAAUCGGUUGUACAUCGCAAAUGAUUUACUAGCAGUCAAACAACAACUUGAUUAAAAACUUAGGGACUACAUCACUCGAUUCAAUAGCAAGUAUGCGCGAUGUGAAGGUUGCGAUAAGGAUACAACUCGUAUCGCCCUUAUGGAGGGCAUCCAAGGAAAGAUUUCUUUUUCUCCCUUACCAAGAAUCCCCUAAAACAUAUAAAGAUCUCCUCCGCGAGGUGACCAGUUACUCCCGAACACAAUAAAAUACAACACCCAGUGUAUUACCCAAGUCGUGCACUGGUAGAGUAGAAGACCCGCCUUAGCCCUUAGCUCAGUGCUUAGCACUGGCCUUAGUGGUCUCAGCUAGAAAAUUGAGGCCCUACUUUCAAACACAUUUUAUUGUCAUUUUGAUCGACCAUCCACUCAACCAUGUCUUGCGAAAACCAAAAAUGCCAUGUCAACUCAUCAACUAUUGAGCUAGGUGAAUUUGAUAUUAAAUAUCAACCACAGAUGACCAUAAAAGCCCAAGCUAUUGCCGACUUCAUCUCAGAGUUUACCCUGUCAACAUUCGUAAGUGAGUAGCAAGAAACCAAGAUUGACCCGGCGCCCGCCCCACUACUAACCACAAUGGAUAUCACCACUGAUACCUUGGCGCAGCCACGAUGGGUCUUGUAUAUUGACGGUGCAUCAAAUCAACAAGCCUACAGAGUCUGCCUGGUCUUGAUCUCGUCAGGCGGAGCUAAGGUAGAAUAGACCAUUUAAUUCCAUUUCCAAGUUUCUAACAACGAAGCAGAUUACGAGGCCCCUUUGUUUGGGCUCCGAUUGGCAAAUGAGCUCACUGUUGCACACAUCGACAUUAAUAGCGACUCACAACUGGUGGUCAACUAGGUGACCGCUUACGUGGCAAAGGUCAAGGAACUCAUCUCCUCUUUCCAAUCAUAUACCCUUAUCAAAAUCAUUAGGGCAAAGAAUAUCUAAGCCAACUCUUUGGUGAGAUUAGUAAAGGUGGGCAUUCAAACCGACAAACUAAAAAACCGAGCAGAACGGCACCGAAAAAAAUUGAGUUGACCAAAAAGUCAACAACCGAACCGGACUGGUUCUAGCUAGUUUUGGUUUCGAUUCCAUGUAUCAAAAAAUUGGACCGGGCCGAACCAGACCAGCUUGAAUAUAAUUAACAUAAUUUAUUUAUAUUUUAUAUAUAUAGUGGGCUUUUACCUUAACCUUCUAUCCAUUCCCAGCUUCAACCCCAAGCAAUUGGGCCUAAACCCAUCAAUUACCUCAAGCCCAACACCUUAUGCUAUUGUUUUUUAGCAGCCUACCCUUUUAAAUUAAUCUUUUAUACUCUUUUUUUGGGUUGAAAUGAAUGUUUUCUACUCUUGUCCUAGAGAUGAAAGUCUUGAAGUACAUAAAUGUUCAUUUAUUUCAAUGGAAAAUAUGUCUGCCCUAUAUAGAGAACUCAAAUGGUUACCAAAAUCUUCUUCCAUCCUCGUUGUCAGAAUCGACUUUUGAUUGUGUGACCCAAAACAAAC
rnacentral:lncRNA from 1 species